rnacentral:lncRNA from 1 species
AGCUUCUCUCCCUGGCCAAGACACAAUCAUAGUAUGAUGAAGAACAUGGCACUAGCCGGCAAUGGUAUGAAGAAGUUAAUCCUCGCUGUUCUCUUACUGUGUCUAGUUAUAGGGCAGAUACAAGUGGAAGCUAAGAGCUGCUGCCCAUCCACCACUGCAAGAAAUAUCUACAAUACCUGCCGUAUCACGGGUACAUCCCGUCCAACGUGUGCAAAACUGUCAGGCUGCAAAAUUAUCAGCGGGGACAAAUGCAAGCCCCCUAACGACCACCUCACCCUUGACCCGGACACUGGUAAAUAAUAAAUUUAUCUCACUUGAUUUCUUUGUGUUUUGAGUCGUUAAUGUAUUUUCCAUCUGAUGAAACGUAUUGGUUUUGCAUUGAAGAGGAAGUUAAUGUGCUUAACUUCUGCAAGUUGGGGUGUGCGUCGUCUGUGUGCAACAACAUCAACGCUGGUAAGCACCUUUUGCUCAGACAGAGAAAACAAUAAUCAUUAAUUAGCGGCAGCUAGAAUCCUAUAAUCUAAUAUAUAUAUAUAUAAUUUUAUCAGCUCUGGGAAAUGAAGAGGCGAACGAUGCCGUUGAGAGUUGCGACCAAGCCUGCUCUAGCUUCUGCAACGUGCACGUUGGCGCUGCCACCGUGGUUGCUUAAGCAAAUGCAUCCAACUGGAUCGUCCUUGUGCUGAAUAAUUGGAUAUCGUAUCCACUUAAAGCUGCCUUGUGUAGUACGUCUUUGUUUGUGUCUCUCUUUAUAUUCCAAUAAGGUCGGUGAUCUUGAUGCCACACACUCAGACGUGUGUUCAUCUCCAGAUACUACUCCAUGCUACCUACCCUUUGUGUUUUGUUCAAUAACUGGGUAUCAUAUUCCGGCCAGUGUGCCAUCUGUUUUGUGUUUAUUUCCUUCUAGUUCCAAAGGGGUCAUCAUGAUGUUACCUUCUUUCGAUAUGGUGCUUUGCAUGACUACUGUUGUAUGGUACCAUCUUGUUGGCCAAUAAAUACAUCUUAUCCUAUGACCCUUUGCUAUGACCCUUUGCAAAUAAGUACAAGAUUGUUAAAUACUCGGUAUAAAUUGACUACUGUUGUGAGUUCCCUUUCAGCUUAUUGUAGGCAUACAUUAUUGCUAGCACGGUGAAGACAACCAACACGAAUGAUCAAGUAAACGUACCGGUACUUUUGUAUACCAACACCCUUGCUUAAAUGUACCGGUGUUACUCCCCAUUGGCACAUAUAUUCUUUUAUGCUAGCCGGCUUGAAAAUUAACCGAUUAAAAUAAUUAUUUCAAGAUAGAAAUAACUUAUCGGCUUCUCGAAGCAUGUGUAAUGUGAAUUCAAGGACUCGAUGGAAGUUGAAUCGCUUCAUCUAGAUUGCUUUCAGGAUUUUGGGUAACUAAAUUUAACAUUUGCACAUACAAAUGUUAAUGUACAAAUGUUAAAUCUAGUUACCCAAGCAGAAUAUGAAGAUACUCUAUAGUAUAUAUAUACUAUAUAAAUCUAGUUAACAUUUAGUCUAAAUGUUAAAUCUAGUUACCUAAAAUCCUGAAAGCAAAAUGUAUAAAUAUAUAUCUUUUAAGGAAUCCCAAAGCAAGAGUUCAGUGGCAUUCUAUAGUCCCAUGCUGCUAGUUUGAGUUGGUCGAAGCCAACUUAAAUAGGAGAGCUCUCUCACUUCUCUAAAUACGUAACUGAAGGAGAGAAGGGGGCUUGGGUUAUACAAUGCACGCACGCACGCAUAUUUGCGUUCUUUUCGCGUAACCAACCAUGUGACUUGAAACUUGCGACGUAGCGUGCUGCCAAGUCAAGUUGAUAUAACCUUUUUGCCGUUUGCGUGUAAUCUUUUGACAACGGUCAUUGGAGGUGAUAAGCACGCAGUCAAUACCUUAAUCCUGAGUUAAUAGGGUGGUUACUACUGCCAAUUAGUGGGGCAAUUUUGUAGGGGAAACGGUUAGCAGAGGGCUACCGUCUUCUCUAUAAGAAGUUCUGGAGACGUCCAGAAACACACAUGUACAUGUGAGAGACCCACGAAUUCCUUCCCUUCUCCCUUUUCCAUCUGAUGAAGAGUGCUGUGGUACUGAGCUGCUGGAUCUCACCGGCUCUUCUCCUUGGCGUGCACUGAGGAGGGUGAGCGGUAUCUCCGAGCUAUUGCCGUCAGGAAGCCUGCACGACGGACAACAAUAAAGUUUUUGGGUAGCGCAACUGUGCAACCGCUCGAUUCGAUCGACUAUGUUAUGCGCUGCCUCAUCUUCGAUCUACACUGCAACGCGUAACCCUGCAGCAAGUCUACACGAGGACGGAGCACUAAUCUGUAAGUCCUAGAUUGGUUUCUUACAAAGUUGUAGGUUACACAAGAUCUAGAAUGUUACAUACCUAUUAUUAUGGGUUACAUGAUGUUUUGUACGGUUACGUCUAUUUUGCAUAUGCUAUUUUUACAUACCGUUUACAUGCAUAUGUUAAUGGUUACACCUAGCUAUUUGAAUCUAGAAUUGGGUUACAUAGUAGUAGCAAUGAGUUACGUAAUAUGCCUCAUGUUUAUAUCUGGUAGAAUUUAACACGUAUCUCCAACAUAUUUUGAGGCAGUAUAAAUUUCAAUUCCUUUUGCUGCUCUGUUAAAUACCAUCUUUCGUUGUGGCCCAACACUCUAGUAUGCAUGUAGCACCAAGCUUGUUUGAGCUGCUUUGUGCUCUGAUUUUGCUAUCUGUAUCAGGUUGGACUGUUUCUUUGUCUUGCGAUGUAUAGCUUCAUAUCUUCUAGAGGUUAGACAGCAAAACCCGCGUUCUCUUAAGGCAACAACUCGAAGAAUCUGCAGUGCCCCUGAUAUAUCACUGCUGCAGAAACGAUCUUUAGUACUGAUCUCCAACCCCCUUUAGUAUUGGUUUGGCAAUCAGUACCACUAUGUCGGUACUAAAGGGAGUUCUCUAGAAUCGGAUCAAAUAACCGGUACUAAAAGGGCUCCUUUACUACCAGUUGGUAACACCAAUAGGUAGUAAAUAUUUUGCACCCAAAAAAUUAAAGAAAAACAGCUGGGAGGCUCGCGCACACACGCAUCAUGAGUAAUAUGUGCGUGCAUGGUUUGUAGGAUUCCAACCCACGACCAAGCUAUAAGCACGUAGUUACAAAAAAUUAAACACUUAGACAUUUUAGAGCAUCCCAAAUAACUACAAAUUCUAUAGUUUACCAUAUACCAUAAAAUAUUAGUUAAAAUAAGAGCAUACACAUGUCGGAAGAGUCCCAACGCACCGGUUGAGGAUCAGACCAGGCACUUUGAAUGCACAUGCCAUAAGAUAAUUCUGCAGGACGAUGAUUGCAAUAAUGGACCAUCAAGAAGAUAGGGGCGAUGGGGUUGCCUCAUCAAUUAUCACUUGGCGCAACAAGACCAGCAAAGUCUUUAUCGACAGGGGUGGAUCAACGGGUGGGGCGGGCAGAGCUUCAGUCCUCCUACCGCCGCUCGAACAAUGGAGCCCCCCUUAGCCCCUCCAUAAAUUUUUAGGUAGAAGAAAAAAGAAGAGAAAGGAAGGAAGGGGAAGAAGAGGGAGCCCCUCCUAAGUAGGUCGCCAUCAUGCUUCCCAACGCAUGAUCGCCGCACCGCAUCCAUUCCUCUACAAGCCUCCAGCGUCUCUCCCGCCGCUACCUCUGAACCAUGUGCAGCUGCAGACCCAACUAGUGUCUUGUCCCCCAUCUCAGUCCCAACAGAGCAGCGGCGGUUGCCAGCACAAAUCUCCCUCCGCCUCUUCUUCAUGGUCGAUGGCCGCCACAAGCAUAAACCUCACCUUCGCAUCCACGCAAAAGGGUCGCUGGGGUGCCUUCUUGCAUCGCUUCUCAGCCUCCUUCACUUGCGGCCAGCCAAGAACCGUGCCACCACCUCGGGUGCGCGCCACCACUCCAGGGCUGCUACCCCAUGCCUGCGGCUGCCGCCGGCCACCACACAUGUCCCGCCGGCCACCACACGUGUCCAACCGCGUCGCACCGCUUCCCUGCUCUGUGCCACCACUUGUACCACCAGCUCCACCACCUUGGGCUGGUCGCCAGGGUGACUGAUUGGUGGAUUGUUACUAAAAAUAAGUUCCUUAUUAUCUGCAACUACUAUUAACUCACGGAUACAUGCAUAUUUUGCUUCUCCUGCUAAUAUGUCCUAAAAUAUCUAGGAUGCCUUAUAUUUCUGGAAAGAGGAAGUAUUUGAAUAAAAUGAACCAAUUUAAAAAAAUGUGUUAUACACUACUACAGAAAGACCUAUCAGUGUCAAACCCAAAAAUGUCGUCACCGCCAGUUUUAGGCACCGUUGGUGAAAGGUUGGCGGUGAUGGGCAUCCCCUUCAACAACGGCACUGGAGCCGACGGUGAUUGGCAUUAGAAAACAAAAAAGGGGACCCUACCUAGCCACCCCUGCAACCCGGCCAGCCGUGCCUCCCCUCGUCCCCGCCACCUCGCCUCCCCCGUUACCCCCCUCCGGCGCCCUUGCGCCUAGCCCCCUCGCCUGCCCGACUGGCCACCCUCGUCACGAGAGAGAGAGGUGCAUGUUGUAUAAUUGCGUGAAUUUUUUAAUGUUUAAUUUCAUGUAAGUUUCAUGUAAUAAAUUGUACAAGAUUUAUUGUAUAUAUGAAUUCCAUAUAUAUAUAUAUUUAUAAUUUAAUGUAUGGUUUCAUGUGUAUAUUUCAAUCAUGUGUAUAUUUAGUAGAUUGCCGAUUUUUUUUUACUAGACAAGGGUUGAUGUAUAAUUACGUGUAUAUGUUUAUUGUACAGGCAAUUAGGACAAGUUUUGUAUAAAUUUCUUUUAUUUCAUGGUUGUUGUAUGGUUUCAUGUAUAUACAUUUAUUGUAUCACUAAUUGUAUUAUUAGUUAAGAUGGGAGCCAAAGAGGAUGAAAGGUAUAUAAUGGAGCAGAUUAUUGCUGGCGGUAGUGGCUCAAACGUUGCAAGAACCUACACCGAGGGUGAGGGUAGCUAGGUGGACAUGUACCUCAACAUGUCCAGUGAUGGCAAUGGUGAUGAGGAGCACGAGCAUGACGUUUAUGAUAAUGCGGAACAAGACAUUGCAGAAUUGGAAGGUUCUAAUGAGGUGUGUUUCAUGUUGAUGAUCUGGUUGGCUUUUUUUCUUUGGUCACACCUUAGUUACCAUAGAACUUCGUCUCGGGAGAAGAUUAGUGGUGCUAUGGUGAUUGGAAUUUUAUUGCCUCCAAAUCUGAUUUCCAUCGAAUCAUAUCCCUUGUAUUUAUCUUCUUUUUAUUUGUGAGAGCAUCUUCUUUAUGCUUGCAAAACAAUUCAAGUGCACAUACUACACCUAGGGUGACGAUUAGGAGUAGAAACAAUUGCCAACAAACCAACACCACAUCCUAAGAUUCUUAACUUGUGGCAUAAUUAGUCUAGUAAAAAGAAAGAUAAAAACCUAAUGGGUGUACGUGAGUGCAAUGUGUAUAUGCAUAUGAGUGGAAGGCAUAUAAGCAAAGAUAAUAUUUACACAUAGUUCUAAACACCAUGUUUACAGCUAGGUUGCUGAAUUUCUCCAUAGCUAUAGAGAUUAAUUAACCAAGGUCAAAACACCAUGUCUAUCCCAAGAUCAGUAAUUCUUUAUAGCACAAGAAAAAGAAAGCGCAUUGCAAAGUUUAUAAACCAACCAAUGCAGCAUGAAAACAAGAUGAAUAGCUAGCAAGGUUUAUUAAACUGAAUGAUGAUGGUCUGCAAGCAAGUUUAAACACCAUCUUUACACAAGAUUGCGAAUGGAAAAUGCCCAUAUGAAGCACUAACAUGGAUAUGAAAUCAUUCAUCAUAAAGCGUAAAGAACAACCAAGCCAACCAUAUGCAAAGCAUGAAUGGAAUGCAAUGAAGGUGCAAGAGAACAUUUUUGGAUGAACACAUUAUAAUGAUGGCAAAAUGCAAUGCAUGCAGAAAAAAUAAAUAUGAACAUGAAUAUGAUGAUCAUGGGGCGGACCCACUAUUGUGGCCUGGGUAUUCCUGGGCAUACCCAAUAUUUUUGGGAAAAUGUUUAGUAGUUUUUAAUGGUAUAUACAUGUAUAAUAUAGUUUAGGUGUUAAAAUUGAUAUUCACAGCUAUUUUGGGCCGCAAUUCGCGUCCAAACCAGCCUGGCCCACAGACCACACCCGGCCGGCCGGCCCAUCUAGUCACUGAUCCCCCCACCACCACACUCAGCCCGUCAGUCGGUCAGGUCCCGAGCUCCUGCCUGACCUAGUCCGCUACCGCCGCCAGGUGCCAGGCACAGCCGCACGCACCACGCCGCCCCCGUCCGCCGCACGGCCGCGCCGCGCCCCCCAGCCCCCGCGGUGAGAUCCCGCCGCCCGCUACCGCCAAACCUCAUUAGGCCUCCACCAGCAGGUCCACCCACAAUCCCGAGCGACGCGGCAGCCUCUUGGCUCUCGUCGNNNNNNNNNNNNNNNNNNNNNNNNNNNNNNNNNNNNNNNNNNNNNNNNNNNNNNNNNNNNNNNNNNNNNNNNNNNNNNNNNNNNNNNNNNNNNNNNNNNNCCCCCCCCCCAUCGGGCCUCGGCCCCUCCCCAGCUCCCCCCCUCCACCAGGACUGCUGCUUCCCCCCACUGCGAGGUAAUCAAAAUCGACUGCUCAAUCUCUCAAUCUGUUGACAUGAUGCACACGGUUGCAAAAAUAGAUGUGUCAAAUAGAUGUAUUGCCAAUUGCUAUAGAUGCAUACGGUUGACAUGAAGAAGUCAAAAAUGACAUUUGGUUCCUUGUAGGCAGUCAAAACUGAAGAAGUCAAAAAAUAUUGAUCUGAAAUCAAUGUGGGAAAGGGCUACAAAGACACACAGGUAGAUUCCCUUGUGAACUUUUUAUGUCGUUCGUCUAAAUAUUUUUUUGCAAUGGGCAUACCCUACUCUAAAAUCCUAGGUCCGCCACUAAUGAUGAUGGUCUAAAAAUAAAACAAGCCUAGAUUAAUUAGCCACAACUGAAAUUAAGCAAAGGCUAAUGUCAUUGACACUAGCUCUAUCCUAGCUUUUACCAAAGUCCUGGCACAUAUAGUGGUUGGGCCCACUCUCUCUGCUUCCCUCUCUGUUGCAUGCACGCACACGAGCAACGGGAGGCCCGACGAAGCCCAGAAGGGUUCGGCCAAACCAGUCUGAGCGCCGCUCCCUCCCAGCCUUCGCGCAGAUGCUCCUCCAACGUUCCUUGACCCCUCCCUCAGCGUCCCGUUGGGUUUAACAUUGCAGGACAGGAGUCCCUUUUUUAAAAUCUCAACCACCUCCUCUCCUCAUUCACUCCACUCUCAUCUCCAUCAAACUAAACGAGAUCCACACCAGAAAUCCCUGCUUACCACCAUGGCUAGCAAAGCCCUCGUCCCUUUCACCAACUUAGGCUUGACCACUGAUCUCGAUGGGGAAAUCACUCCGGCAAAUGUCAUUGUCCCUGUCGGGCGAUCUUGCGAUGGAGGAGGUCCAGGCACUAGAGGUCGAGCCCCUAGCCAUCAUACCGCCCAAGGGGUAAAGCAGGGGUGUGACAGGCGCUGCUAGGGGUUCAGCCAAACUCCUAGUUCGGCCAAACCAGGACGGCGCCGCCUCGGCCUCCCGCUCGACUGCACGCUCGCCCUUGCCAAGGAGGACUCUAGAACAGCGGGCGCGAGCGUCAAGUCCCUACAAAAGGCUGAAAUACAAUGAAUAUCCAGGGCCACCCUUGAAGAUGGGUGAACGCUACGCCGGGUCCUUGUUUGACUAGUACGGCGAUGCAUUCUGCCACCGCUAUGAGGAGGACUUGUGGGCAGAAAGUCGGCUACCACAAACUUGCCUCCGAAUAUUUGGAUUGCGAACCUUGGAUGGUGGUUGUGGAGACCCCAAGCCAUACCUCGCACCCUUGGAGAGGUAAUUGGCUGGAUUGCUUGGUUCGUCUCUAGAAUGCGACAAGGUCAGGCGCCACCUCUCACUGCUACCAGUUAGAAGGCCGAGGGGCCAGUUUCAACAUAGUAAUGAGAAUCUCCGAAGGCCACCAUGGUUAAGCAGCUAACCUCCAUGAUCAUAGACUUACGUUUAGAAAAUAGGAGGCUUAGCGAUGCGUUAACAGAGCAGAAGUUAGAAACAGAAGAACUUAAGGACAACUUCCGUGUCCUCCGUCGUGGUCUUUGUGCUAAGAUAAAGCGCUUGUACAAUGCCACGGGGCAUGACGGUCUCUACGAUGCAGCUCAAUAGACGUGCCCCUUGUAUCCCUUCCUUUAGGCACUUUAGAAUAUGUUUAUUUGUUUUCCUUCAUUUUAAUUUCCAAUCAGAUUGUUAGCACCUCCAAUUUAAUUUCAAUAAAGUGUAGACUCACCGGUCAUCCAACCUGAUGGAGUCCUUGUGUCACUUAGUUGUCUUUGGAAGAAGUAGCUAGGUACAAAAUAAGUGUGGGGGAGAGCCACGGACUCUCUAGAGUUGAAACAAUGCACAACACCCACAAAUAGAGAAAACCACGCUGCACCAGCACGUACGUGAAAGGGGAGCCAGAGCUGGACCCAUAGGGGUUUGGCCAACCCAGGGUGUGGCCCACUCGGGCCAUCUUCAUCCACCGCGUCGGUUUGUGUUUCUUUACCCCUGAUCUCCCUGAUUCAUGAGUUUGAAUGAAUUUUAAAUCUGACCAACUAAUUCAAACUCAACUAAAAUGAAUCAAUUGCUCCACCUGCUCUACAUGUUUUCUAUGGUUGGCUUGCAUAUGUUUUAUUCCAUGCUUAUCAUCUUGAUGCUUGUGAACAAAUAUCUUUAGGACAGCAUGCUCAUCUAAGUAGUUGAUGUGUAUGAUAUGGUUUGAUGAUAUGAUCUUCGCUCUUAAUGCUUAAGUGCUUGGAAAAUUCUAUUUGAAAAUUUAAAGCCUUUUUUGAAAUCUCCUCUUUGAUGUGCCAAGGUCCUACCAAAGCCGUAUGAUAAGUUGUCUUGAAGAACCAUUUGCAUAUAUUGCUUGUCUUUGCAUUAAGCUUUGUCAAAGUGGUGUGACCCUUGAAGAACCAUUUGCAUAUAUUGCUUGUCUUUGCAUUAAGCUUUGUCAAAGUGGUGUGACCCUUGUGACAAUUCUUUUCAUACUUUCAUGAUCAAGACUCAUGUGCACACCAUAUACCCCUUGCUAUGCUUCUAUGAGAUGUUAGCAUUGUACCAUCCAUUGAUUCCACAAAAUAAAUGCUCCACCAUAUGUGUUGGUCUCCUUCUAAGAUUAUUGUUACAAAAGAGAUAUGGGCUAUCAAAAAAAAAUAUGAAUGUCCUAGAAAGUUGGACACAUAAAUGUCAAGAGAUCAUACAAAAAGGAGUUUCCAUUCCAUCCACCACAUCCAUACACGUGCACAUCUUGAUCUGAUUGUAUGACUUAUUUUUCUCUUUGGAUCUGGUCUUUGACUUUGCAAUAUAUGUGAUGCAAGUAUGCCUUAUCCUUCAUAGCCUACCUUGAGCUCCACAUAUAGCCAUCAUUAGAAGUAGGAUGAAGAAAGGCAAGUCUAAUGCCUUGGUGAGGACAUAUACACAUUGAGUGAUCUGAGAGAAUCAAAUGAGGAGCUAAGCAAGGUUUUGUUUUGAAAACUAAUUGAAAAAUCCCAAGCUACUUGGCAUAUGGAGUUGCGGUGACUUGAUUCAAGAUCAUUCCAUUCCUCAACUACCCAAGAUGGCAUGAUAGACACUCCAAAGUUCACAAGUGCAGGUAUGGUUUGGAAUAUCUUUUAGGCUCGCUUCAUACCUUUGAAAGUUAUGUUUCACCUUAGUCCUUUCUUCUUCACUCGAGGAUAAGCAAAGGCUAAGUGUGGGGGUGUUGUUGAUGGCUCUUAAGUACCAAAUCUGCACCAUCAACUCUUGCAUAAACACAUAAAAUAUGAGCAUCAACAGUAGUGGUAGCAGUUAUUACAAACGAAUUCCACAAGUCUUGGUGAAUAUUUGUAUGCAGGCCCAUUAGGAGAGAAAAGACACCUCAAGAGCAAGGAAACACACUCUCAACCAAUCAGGAGCAAGCACAUGGAACCAUGGGCCCACAACCGGAAGGAAAUCGACUACAUUCACCACCAAACACCCUAUACCCACAUGAGAACCCAUAGGCAGUGACCCAGAGCAGAGGUGGUGCCAGAGUGUAGAUGGCAGUUAGCAUGCCAAAUUGUGAACCGCAAGCGCACGGAUCAAUUGUUGCUUUUCCCUUAGAGAUUCCCCCAAGGUUUAUGAAUCCAUGGAAUAAGGGAUUUGCACGUUUAACUAAGCACUAAUCAAUGUAAUUGAAAGCUUUUCGAAUAAGAUAUGAUUAUGCUAACAAAGGAACUAAGCAAUCUAGAUUAAGAUGGAUAGAGAGUAAAGGUUGUGAACAAGAUAGAUUAAAUGCUUGUCCUAGGGAUCUAGGAUCACUUGUAGAUGGAAUCGCCAUGCAUAAAUGAAUUAGAUCUAGGUGUUAUCAUGAGUGGUUGUGAACCAUGCCCAACACUUUCCCACCCGCAACACUGUCACUACAUGUGGGUACUCAACUAUCAGAACAUAAGAACACAUCAAGAUGAUCAUUCUAGGUAAGCAAAUAAGCAACCCAAAGUAGUGCUGGCUAGCCUUUUCAUGAAAGAGCAUCAUCAAGAUAAGAUUGAUAACAAAAUAGAUCUCAACCAAAGGUUCAGCGAUUACAAAUCAAGAUCUCCGUAUAACCCCGAUGACAAAUAGAGGUAUUACCCCCAUGAUCUUACACAUGUUGAUGAAUUUUGGGGUAAAGGACACCUUGUAGAUCAAUUGGACCAAAGAUGAUGAUAAACGGGGGCAGGGAAGGCCCAGACCGAUCAGCCUGGGCACUUUUGAGCCGAUCAGCUCAGGGGGUUUCCUCCUCCCCUAGAGAUCAUGGUACACUUCACGCUGAAGAAACAAGAGAUCGACCGAGCCCUGGGAUAGACCAUGAGGAUCAGCCUAGAGGGUCCUAGGCCGAUCGGCCUAGGCCCUUCCUAGCCCUUCUGGUCCUCUCCUUCCUCAUGCUGGCUUUUCUCGACGACCCUUAUCCAAAUAUCCAUUAAGCUCUCUAUACAUACCCCCUUGAUUAUGUCGUAUUUCCUGCCAAAAUACAAUGCUCCAAAAUACAACACAUAUGCAAUAAUAGGGUUAUUUUAGGUGCCAAUUGGUGGGUUAGUAUACGAAUAAGCAUGAAAAUACUGAUUAAAUGGCACUAAAAGUGUGUCAAUAAUGAGCACCAACAAUCCCCCCACGCUUAGAUCUUGCUCGUCCUCGAGCAAGUCUAGCGACUAAAAGAUCUUGAAUUAAACCUGAGCAAGCGAGUCAAGUACCUAGCCUUGAAACAAAAGAUUAGAGGAGCAGCAAAGAUAAUCAAAGUCUGGGUGUUCAAAGAUUUAUCUAAGCAAAGAUUCCCCUACAACUAUUAUUCAGAACCAAGUAACUUCAAGUAUCAACUACACUUAUUUUUUGGCUUUUUUCAGAGGGUUUUUCUUUCAUCAUAAAACAAUCUCCCUGCAAAAAAAUUGGAAAAAGAAUUAUUUUCCAGGUGCUUAUAUGUCGCUUAAAUGAAUGUUGGCUAUCCUACUUAUUUGCAAGCUCUCAUCUCUCAAAAGUCAUUCAAUUCUAUGGUGGAGCUUGGGUAAGGUUAGCUAGAAUCAACACGUAUAUUAUUGAAUUAAGAAAACCCUCUAACGGUGGCCUACCUUCCGAGCCAUUGAUCAUAAGAAUAUCCACAUAAUGUGAAGUUUUCAAGGAUGAGAAGAUAUAGAAUGGUGGACAUGUGCAAAUGCAAAGAAAUAUAGUGACUCUGAGGCACAAGCAAUGUCCUCGUCAUUGGAUUGCAUAUGGUUGGAAUGAAAAUCCGUUCCUUAAACAAGUCCAUCUUUUCUUUGCACCACUCUUGAUCUUCAUGACAGUAAAAACUCCUCCUUUAUUUUUUUCUCUCUUUUCCUAUUAUUUCUUUUUAUUUGUCUCAAUACUUUUCUUUCUUUCUUUCUUUAUUUUAAUCUCUUCUCUGAACCUCCUCUGAACACCACACAAUAAAAAUCAGUUUUAGAUCCUUCCAGAGACCUUCCAUGAAUUUGCUACAUGAAAACUGAGGCAAGGAGACCUCAGGCCGAUUGGCCUGGCCACUCCUUUGCUCUCCUCUAGCUCUUCUUUCUGGUGAAGCUUCCAUAUCUUGUAUCUUUCCAAAAAUUUCAAUAAGCUCGACUAGAAGCAGAACAGAUCUUCAUAUAAUGAGUUGUGUUCAAGGAAUUGGUAAUAAAAUUGAGAAAUUUGUGGUCCGGGUUUACGAAUUCAGUACAAAAAUCUGAUGGUUCCAAUGAAGAACUCUCAUUACUGAAUAUUGACGAGGCAAGCAUUCAAAGAUGGUAAAAAGGAUAUGAUCAAUUCUCAAAAUUAAAGCAAACCAAGAGAGAGCGAUCCUAAUUCAAUUCAAAGUGUCAAAUAUUGCUUAUGGUGGUAUGAAUAAAUAUUUUUAGGCAUUGGGUAGGAUAAAUAAAAACUCUCAACCUGGUUAAAAUAUAUUGAUCAAUCUUGUUUUUGCAGAGGUUUUAAAUAAAAAAUAAAAUUUUAAAUCACCUCCAAUUCAAAGCCUUACUCAUAAAUCAUAAUCAAAACUGAAGCACUUGAUCAUCAUAAAGCAUGGGUAUUGCAUAAACAAAUUGAUUACUAAAACUCCACAACUACGAUUUAGAAUUCAAGACAAUGCUCAUAAUCCAAAGUUGCAAAGACAAAAUAAAAGACAAGCAAGCCAAGGUAGACACUAAAAACACUUGCACGAUCCUUGAAUUUUAUUCAUGCUUCUUCUCACAAAGAUGCUAAAGUAGCCAUGUAGGCCUAAGUCUUCCCAAAAGCUUAAUAAGAUUACUACUUUAUUUACUUUUGGUUGAAAUAAAAACACUAAUUUAGACUCUCACAUGACUCGACUCGACCAAACUAGAUCCAAAAACUCAUAUGAGCGACGAUCUCCACCCCCCCUCACGCUUAAAAUCUACGACCUCCUCGUCGUAACCAUAUGGAGUACAUGGAAAAGAUGCUUGUAAAUGCACUAAUGACGCUACCCGCACUACUUGCACAUGGGAUGGUUGCUGCUUCCUUCACUUUGUUCUUCCUCAUGUUGCUGCACAUCUCGAAGAGCUUCCUCAUGUUCCUCUGCAAGAACUUGAAGUCGUCCUCCUGACUUGCAUGAUGUCAUCGACAGCAUCGAAGAGGUAGUGGAUGUUCUUCCUGCAAGCUGCGGAACAUGUACGAUCAUGCUCCUCUGAUUCUGGCCCGUCGUCUUCUAGAUCCUUCUCUUUGCCCUUGUCUUGAUGGUGGCCAUCUUGCUCCUUGCUCGCCUUCUUGCCUUCAGCCCAAUCCCAGUACGUGUUGUCAUCUUCUUCAUCAUCACGGCCUGCAGCACCCUAUGAUCCAGGGCUCCUAUCGUCCUCCGAAUUGCUAUCACCUCCAUAGUCAGCUGGCGUGUACUCGGGCAUCUUCGCUAUGUAGCUCUUGCGCUUCAUCAUGAGGAGCCUUGCUGAAAUCCUUGUGGGAGUGACGACGACCUCCUUCUUCUUCUUGGGUGCUUCAUCUUCGCUCGAGAAGAUGAUCAACAUGCGAUUCGCAAGCUUUCCGGAUGGUGCCUUGCCUCCAACACUGAUGUGAGCGUUACGAGUAGUCCUUGGUGGAGUUUUGGGACCCUACUCACACCUCUUGGCUUCCAUAUGAAGGGUGAAGGUGGCAGCCAAGGGAGGGGGUGGUGCUGAUCGGCUUGGGGAGGUCAGGUCGAUCAGCCUGGCCGCCUCCUUCGCCGGCUGCUGCCCCCUCUCGUCUCCCGAGCUCCUGGACGUCACCACUGCACUUUUUUUUUGGUUUGGUGGAUCUGAAUUGCUUGUGUAGAUGCAAAACUCAAGCUCCAAUUGGCCUCAUUAUAUACUCUUGAAGUCUUUGUCAAGGAUCCACACAUUUCCAAAAACUUCCUUGCCCCUUCCCGCAAAAAUUCACUUCCAUAAUCUGUUGUUACCAAAGAUGUGAAAGAGGGAACUGAAUCGGAAAUUACAUAUAUUUUUAGACGUACGCUCUGCCUCCCAAAUUUUCAUGGCAGCGCGUAUGUCUAAAAAUAUAUGUAAUUUUUUGAGUCUUACACAAAAUUCAAAUGAAAAUAAUAGAAUUUAAGAUAGUGUAUGUACAAGGUACCUAUUUUAGUGUCGUCAAGCUUGACUUGGCCAUUCUUCCUUCAUGGUAUAGACGUCAAUAGAAUUGAUAGGCACGAUGUCGGCUUCCAAGAAUACCUUUAGCCGCUGUCCAUUCACAAUAUAUUGAUCUCCUUUGACGUCCAUGAUUGUUACUGCUCUGGUAGGUGACGCAGAAUACAUGACGUAUGGUCCACCCCACUUGCUCAUCAAUUUUCCCUUACCGAAGAAUUUAAACAUGGAGUUGAACAAUAACACUUUAUCCCCUUCUUUGAAUUCCUUCUUAUGAGGCCUUUUAUCAAACCACCUCUUGAUUCUUUCCUUGUAAAUGCUUGCAUUGUGGUAAGCUUUAAGCCUCAUCUCUUCCAAUUCACUUAUUUGAAUCCUUCUUUUUACUCUCGCAGCAUUAAAAUCAAGAUUCAUCUCUUUUAUGGCCCAAUAAGCUUUAUGUUCAAGUUCAACAGGAAGAUGACAUGUUUUUCCAUAGACAAAUUUAUACGGGGUCAUACCUAUAGGUGUUUUAUGAGCUGUCCUAUAUGCCCAUAAUGCUCCGUCUAGUUUCUUUGACCAAUCCUUCCCUCCUUUGACUAUGGUCUUUUUCAAUAUAUCUUUGAGUUGCUUGUUUGAAGUUUCUGCUUGGCCAUUUGUUUGAGGAUGAUAGGCUGUAGACACUCUGUACUCAAUCCCCAGUUUCUUCAAACAUUUGCCAAAAUCUUUUUCUAUGAAAUGUGAUCCUCCGUCGCUUAUCAAUAUUCUGGGCACUCCAUACCUAGGAAAUAUUAUCUUCUUGAUCAUGUGAAUUGAUUCCUCUGUUGAUGCCUUCCGACAUGGGAUAGCUUCUACCCAUUUAGACACAUAAUCAACUAUAACCAAGAUGUGCUCAUAGCCAAGUGAAUUUAAGAAUGGUCCCAUGAAAUAUAUACCCCAAACAUCAAAUAGAUCCACUUGCAAACUAUAGUUCAAAGGUAUAGAAUUUCUAGAUGAAAUAUUUCCUUUUCUUUAGCAUUCUGAGCAAGUAGCAAUGAACCUCUUUGCAUAUUCGUGCAUCUCUAGCCAAUAAAAUCCCCUUGCCCAUACUUUUGCUUGAGUUUUGAAGUGUCCAUAAUGUCCUCCAUAUUCUGAUGAAUGGCAUUUCCUAAGCACCGCAUCUCUUUCUUCUCUAGGAAUCCAUCUUCUCAAUACUCCAUCUACUCCAUACCUAUAUACAAAAGGUGCAGACCAAUAGUAUUUCUUAUUUUCAGCAAUAUUUUUUCUUCUGUCAUUCCUAUCCAAGUGAUGCAAGGGCGCCCUUUUGAAGACUCUGAUAAUGUCAUGCAUCCAAUCAUCCUUGUCAAGUAUUCUGUAUAAAUGGUCAUCUCUCAUUCGAUCUUUAAUUGGCUCCUUCCCAUUAUCUUGUUGGUACAUCCUCGACAAGUGGUCAGCUACCACAUUUUUUGACCCCUUUUUAUCUCUAAUUUCCAUAUCAAACUCUUGUAGUAACAAUAUCCAAUGAAUCAGACCUGGUUUAGCAUCUUUCUUGGACAAAAGAUAUUUAAUUAAAGCAUGGUCGGUGUCCACAAUCACUUUAGAAUACACAAUAUAUGAUUUGAAUUUUUCCAAAGCAAAUACUACGGCAAGCAGCUCCUUCUCUGUAGUUGCAUAAUUUAUUUGAGCCUCAUUUAAAGUCUUGCUAGCAUAGUAAAUUGCGUGUACCUUCCCUUCUGUUCUUGUCCAAGUACUGCUCCAACAGCAUAAUCACUUGCAUCGCACAUUAUCUCAAUGGGUAGAUUCCAAUCCGGAGGUUGAAUGAUGGAUGCACUGAUAAGUGAUUGCUUUAAAGUUCUGAAAGCAUAGAGACAGUCUUCAUUGAAUUCAAAGCUCACAUCUUUCUGUAGAAGUUGUGUUAAUGGUUUUGUUAUCUUCGAGAAAUCCUUAAUAAAUCUUUUGUAGAAUCCGGCAUGUCCGAUAAAGCUUCUCAAUGACUUGAUGUCUGUUCAAGGAGCUAACUUUUCCACAGUUUCAAUCUUCGCUUUAUCAACUUCUACCCCCCCCCCCCCUCUAAGAUGACAUGCGCCAGCACUAUUCCUUGCUUCACCAUAAAGUAGCACUUCUCCCAGUUUAGAACUAAAUCAACUNNNNNNNNNNNNNNNNNNNNNNNNNNNNNNNNNNNNNNNNNNNNNNNNNNNNNNNNNNNNNNNNNNNNNNNNNNNNNNNNNNNNNNNNNNNNNNNNNNNNNNNNNNNNNNNNNNNNNNNNNNNNNNNNNGCGUUGAAUUGAUGUGGGCGCAUUGCAUAGACCAAAAGACAUUCUUCUAUAAGCAAAAGUUCCAUACAGACAAGUGAACAUCAUCUUAUGUUGGUCAUUCGGAUGUAUAGGAAUUUGAUCACUAUCCUGUCACUAUCCCCUGGAGAAUUAGCUCAUUCUUCUCAUUUGUCACAACAGUCAAUCUAUCCUUCUUUGGCACGCAAUGCACUGGGCUUACCCAUUCACCGUGUGGUACUGGAUAGAUUAUUCCAGCAUUAAGCAAUUUGAUCGCCUCCUUCUUUACUACAUCACGCAUAGCAUGCUCAAUCUUCUCUAGUUCUCCACAACUAGUUUGUAUUGAUCUUCUAAUUGUAUUCAAUGAGUGCAUAAGGUUCGAUUGAUUCCUUUCAAGGCUUUGAUUGUAUAUCCAAUCACUUUCUAAUGUUUUCUUAAUAAAUUCAGCAGCUUCUCAGUUUCUUCCUUCCUCAACUCGUUGUUGAUAAUGACUGGAUAUGUCUUGUUGUUCCCCAAAUAUUCAUAUUUUCAUCCCUUGGGUAAUGGCUUCUGCUCAACAUCUGGUGCUUUAGUCUCUUGCUGCUCCAAAUCUCCAAUGUCUUCAAAUUUUUUUGCUUCUAAAGUUCCGUAUUGCAGUGAUAAUGCUUCGGUUGCUUCUGCCAGUUCAUCAUCCUGACCACCCUCAUUGUUUUCCAUUGCUCUUAGUAGAGGAUCCCUGAAAUUUUCAGCAAAACAUACACUUUCUAAUUCCUCGUUAUCAGGAAGUAGAGGUAGGGUUUGUUGAGAAGCAGGCAAAAAAUUAUAAGUGUAUUUGGCACUGCCAAGAUUAAUCGUUACUUUGUCCUUCCCAGCAUCAACCACAACAUUAACCAACUUAAGAAAAGGUCUACCAAGGAUAAUAGCAUCAUGGCAAUCAUCAAUAACAAAGAAGUCAGUUGGUAUAACUUUUCCCGAGAUAGCAACAUCUAGAUCUCUAUGCACACCUAGAAAGACUUUCCGUAUGGUUGCACGUUUCACUAGAAAGACUUUCCCUCAAGUCGGUCUUUAUGUGAUCGGAGUAAGCUAUUGGGACAGGAUCCUCUACCGAGGCUGCCCUCUUACUCCCUUGUACUGUCCUUAAUAGUUUCUAACUCUUUAGUUGGUAAUUUUAGAUUUAUCUCAAAAACUCACACAUUGUGUUUGCAUAUUCCUAGGGAGUUCUAUCUUCUAAAAUGAUGCUCGAUCAUCGAUCUAGUCAUGAUCGGGGUAAUUUAUGGGAUUUUUUGCUAGAAGUGGCUUCAUGUCAAGGCGAGAAAGAGAACAGAUGUGGGUUGCUUCUGUAGGUUUGUAAAGAGAUGAAAGUUAGAUUAUUAUCUUGGUAGAUUUUAAUAUCUAUGAAUACAAGGGGUACGUGCUAGGAAUUACCUUCAUUAAAAGUCCUUAGCACGUUUUCCUAGGUUGACUAGAGCCCUGGCUUCUCAAUCUUCAGGUCUUCCGCUUCUACUUCUUGUUGGGGUCAUUGGAGCUUCCACCAGGAUCUCUGGAGUCCGGAUCUUCCAUUUCUUGUCGCAAUUCGAGCCUUACCAGGCUAACGCAUCUACGCAUCUGCUGGACGGCCAAAAAUUUGACUUCACAUAUUUUUUUGGAUCCUUGGCUUCCAACCGGGUCUUGGUUGUGUCCUCGCCUCCAACAAGCAUGCAAUCAUACAAAUAAUUCUAACAAUCAAUUUCUUGCAAUCAAUAUAUGACUAAAGGAAAUGGAAAAAGAAUGGAUGAUGGAUGCUUUAGGAAUUAUCAGAUUUCUAAGGAUAAUUCCAGAAUAAUUGAUGGAUAUCUUAUCCAUUAUUUAGAAAUAUUUCUAAAUAAUUGAUGGAUAGGAUAGUUGGAUUUCUAGGAUAAUUUUAAUAAAUUAAUAAUAGAUUUUCGAGCAGUACGACCGCUAGGGUUUUGUUGAUAUCUAGGGUUUUGAUUGGGCAACAUAUCAACUAGGUUUGGUUAAUAUAGGAGGUUUGGAUUGGGUACUAUAACGGCUGGGUUUUGGAAUGGAUCCUAAGUGUGAUUCGGGCGCUAGGUGUUGUGAAUGGAUUUCAAGGCUAGGAAACUUGCAUGACAAGCUCGGCUUCGACCCUACGACGGGUGGAGCUAGUCAAGUUUCCUUGGGCUUGGGUUGGCUGUCAGGCUUGAGAGUUUGUGCGACGGGCAUCACUUCGACCUGACCUGGUGCUAGAAGUUAGCAACCCAGCGAUAGGUGGAGCCAAGCAAGACCAAGUGGAAGCUAGAGAGCUUGCACGACAAACUCACUUCGACCACUAGGGUGGAGCUCGGGCAAGAUCAAGUGGAUGGAAGUUAGAGCUUGCUUGACAGACUCACAUCGGCCACUAGGGUAGAGCCUGGGCAAGGUGACCAAGGAUGGGCAUGGGAAUAGGCUUGGAUGGCUCUAAGAUAUUUUAAGGAAUUUUCCUAGGGUUUUUGGAAGUGAAAUAAAUGAAAUGCAACUUUUGGUGUGCACUUUAAGAGGGUUUUUCUACUAUGUAAGUAAGAAAAGGAUAUUUUGGCGAAGGGGUCAUAUGAGGUGAUCAAUGGGAAAGGAACACAUGGAUAGGUUUGGAAUAUUUUGGAAAAUUUUAGGAACUUUUGGAGUACAUGAAGGGCUCUAAGUGAACUUGUGUGUGCAUUUGGCUAGGUACGCAUAGCAAUUUCAGGAGCGCUGCCGCAACAGGGCGGGGCUGCGGGUACUGUGGUGUGGAACCGUGGUCACAACGAGCGAGCUGCGCAUGUGCAGUGGGCCGAGGUAAGGCAGGCUGAGCGAGUGUUCAGAUUUAUUUACCGACACAAACAACAACCAGUAAAAUCAACAAAUCAAGCACAAGAGAUACAAGGAUUUAUUUACCAAAGUUCAGAUUCCUUCAUCGAGGAUUCCUACAUCUCCGUUGGGUUCUUCCAAUAAAGCCGAGUCACUCUCAACCCUUUCCCCACUUCAUAUCUUGAUUUCUUCCCCUACGGAGGCGAAAUCAAAGCCUUCACAAACUUUUCAUGGCACACCACAAGCUUGGGUACUCACCAGGUGAUGCCUAGCCAUCUUGGAGGCUUGACCUAGCCACUCAAUCUGUCAAUCUGUCCACCCAACGCAUUUUUCUCUUCAAAUCUGAUAGGAACACUCAAGCUCUAGUAACAAAAUGGAGGGGAUGGAAACACAGAAGCGUAGUGGUGGGUGGAUUGGAUAAAACUAGCUAGAAUCACUUGAAGAUCACUCAACAAGAUCAACUAGCACCGAAUAUUACUCUACGGUUUUCUCAACUAGGAUAACUCGGAGAUUACUCGACGAGAUCAAUUAGCACCGGAGGUUACUCUACGGGUUUCACAAGGAAGAGCAACACUCAAUUCUCGUAUCAUAUCAAUUCAUCAACUCUGCACAACACAUUGCAUAGCAUCCCUUUAUAUAGAGAGGGAGAGACAGACACUUAAUACUUUGAACUCUUAGAAAAAUUAAAUGGACACUUAGGAACUGACUCCCUAAUUACUAGUCUUAGACUCUAAGAUACAUAUGACUCUUGGGAAACAAAGAGAUAAUAAAGCAACUGAAGAGUCUUGGACUUUCGCGCGGCUUCCUGGCAGCCUGCACACUUUACACUAAAAUGACCAUAACUCUUGACUCGGAAGUCCAAAAGAUGCAUCGUUUGUGGUGUUGGAAACUGUGCCAAUUAUUUCUCUCUUUUUCAUUCUCUCUUGGCUUAUAUCCAAAAUCAUAGCAGCCGUUGUUGAACAUUGAACUCAGAUCCAAAAAUUCCAUACAUGGAUCCAAAAAAUUUUCACUGAUAUGUUUGUCCUCAAAAAAGAUAAUACUUGUUGGCGCAUAAUAGAUAGAAACUUCAGGAUUAAUGGACAGAAAAGUGUUCGUCUCAUCACUUUGAAAGAAAUCAUCCAAUAUAUUUUCAUUAACAGAUUCAAUAGGAUCAAAAUCAAUGGAUAUAUUUUGCUCCUCAUCAUAGAUAGGUGGCAUGCAAUAACACCACUUCUUGGAGACACCAUACGAAUCAUAAGAUGCCAAACCAUAAAUCUUGCAACAAUGAUAGUCCAAAACUUCCCAUUUGCUGCAAACCAAGGACAUCAAGUUGAUCAAAAUCAGUACCUUCAUAACCAGUAGCGCCAUGAAGAGCAGCUUAACAUCCAGAAACAUCACAACCAGUAGGAGCCCCACAAGCAACUUGAUGGCCAUAAUCCUCACAGCCAGCAGUGGCACGACCAACAACCUCUUGACGAGGUACUUCACAACUAGCAGCCUCAAGACCCUAUAAGCGUUCUUGUACUUGACGAUUUUCUUCUCCAAGACCUGCAAGGAUCACAUCAUGGUGAUCAUGCUCUUGGUUGGCAAUGUCGUUGUCGGAGUCUGCUUGAUGACGUUGAUGACAAGCCAUCAACCUUAAUCCAGAUGAUAGAAAUCUUGAAGCAUGGAACAAUAGCUCUGAUUAUCAAAUGAUAGGAACACUCUCACUCUAGUAACAAAAUGGAGGGGAUGGAAACAUGGAAGCAUAGUGGUGGGUGGAUUGGAUAAAACUAGAAUCACUCGGAGAUCACUCAACAAGAUCAACUAGCACCGGAGAUUACUCUAUGGAUUUCUAAAAUAGGAUAACUUUGAGAUUACUUGAUGAGAUCAACUAGCACUAAAGGUUACUCUAUGGGUUUCACAAGGAAGAGCAACGCUCAAUUCUCAUAUCAUAUCAAUUCAUCAACUUUGUCCAACAAAUUACAUAGCAUCCCACCCUUUAUAUAGAGAGGGAGAGAUAGACACUUAAUACUUGAACUCUUAGAAAAACUAAAUGGAAAUAAAGAGAUAAUGAAGCAACUGUAGAGUCUUGAACUUUCGCGCACCUUCCUGGCAGCCUGCACACUUUCCACUAAAAUGACCCAUAACUCUUGACUCGGAAGUCCAAAAGAUGCCUCGUUUGUGGCAUUGGAAACUUAACUCAUAGGACUUUCUAAUGAUGUAUCAUAUGAAUACGGAAACCAAGUAGAUCAGUACCAGAAAUCCAUGAAACUUAGAGAUGUUGCUGCAUGUUCUUCCAACUUGUGUAAACCACCACCAUUUCAUGUAACCGGUUGGUUUACCUUCCCAUGAGGAUAUCAAAAUAUCUUGAAAAUCUAGAGAGGGGAGAGCUUCUUCGGUCUGUGAAUAUGUCUUUUUUGUGUGGGAAACCAGUAGCAGCUAAUGGGAGGCGGUGAGUGGUACAAAUACCUAUCCCAAAAAACUAGCUGUUGGGCUGUUAAGUUCCAGAAUCUCUGGAAAAAAUCUCCGAAAACUCUGGAACCCUAAAACUAGCCAUUAGAUUCAAAAAGUUUCAAACACUACGAAAAAUCGUAAAUUUGCCGAGUGUUUUUUCCUUUGUCGAGUGUUUUUUUUCGGACACUCGACAAACAAGCUCUUUGCCGAGUGCCGAGCUAAAAACACUCGGCAAAGAAAAAACACUCAACAAAGAGGGGCUUUGCCGAGUGUCAAAAACAAAACACUCAGCAAAGAGGGGCUUUGCUGAGUGUUUUAUUUUCACACUCGGCAAAGAAUUUUUUUUUUGAAAAAAAAGUCUUGCCGAGUGUCCAGAUUGGGACACUCGGCAAAUGUCAAAAAUAUAUCUCCCGUCCCCGACCCCCCUACCCCAGCACCCCACCCGCCCGACGCCCCCCUCCUCUUCCUCCGCGCAACACCGGCCCCCACCUCCCUCUCCCUGCCGCCGGCUAGCUGCCGCUGCCGCCGCCCCUUCCCUCCCUCCCUCCCUCUCCCUCUCCCUCUCCUACCGGCGCCCCUCCCCCUCCUCUCCCCUCCUCCCUCCCUCACGCAGCCGCCCCCUCUCUCCGGUGGCGACCUCCGGCCGCCGCCCCGCGCCUCCUCCCCGGAUCCGGCGGGGACUCGCAUCGGGGACGCCGGAUCUGGCGGGGACUCGCGUCGGGGGCCCCGGGAGUGGCGGUCUUCAAGCGGCGGCGUGGAGAUGUGGUGGUGGUGGUGGUCGGCGGGAGGCAGCUCGUGGUGGUCUGCAGGCUGUGGUGGUGGUGGUGGUGGCCGGCUGUGGUGGUGGCAGCGGGCGUGGAUGGUGGCCGGCUGUGGUGGCGGUGGCGGCGGUGCGGAUCGUGGCGGCGGGCGUGGAUGGUGGUGGCAGGUGUGGAUGGUGGCCGACUGCGGUGGUGGCGAUGCCGGCGUGGAUGGUGGCAACGUGCUGGUGGUGCUGCCGACGGUGUCGGCAUGCCUUUUUUUUUAUUUUUUUCAAAAAAAUUGUUUGCCGAGUGUUUUCUGGGCACUCGGCGAAAGCUUUGCCGAGUGCCCGACCGAAAACACUCGACGAAUGUUACUUUGCCAAGUGCCAGAUGCCGAGUGUAACACUCGGCAAAUUUGUUGCCGAGAGUAUUUUGGGUUUCGCCGAGUGCUCCUGGCGCUCGGCAUAAAACCUGUGUCCAGUAGUGGAAAUCUCCACAAAAAUCUCUGGAAACUCUAAAUAUUUUUGUUCUCUCAAAAAUCUACAGAAACUCCACAAAAUUCUCCGAAAUCUCUGCAACUUACCGAUUCUCCGUAGAAUUCUCUGGAAUUUCCGCAAGUCCACUGGACAACAUAAGUCACCCAAGAGAAAGGGAUCUUGGACUCUAAGGAAAUCUUGUUCAAAGAACUAUCCAGUCCAAUUUAAAACAAGCCACCAGAUCACUCAGUGCAAGUGUUGUGACAAGUGUUUCUCUCAUGUUAAAACUUGAAAGGAUAGGUUUGAGCACUAAGGCAUAGGUGAAGCAAUCAUUGCAUCCCUCUCGAUAGCACGGCAUUACAUAUACUCAAGAUCAAAAAAUAGACACAAUAUCAACCACUUGAGCUUGAAUACCUUCACCAUGCUGCUUUUCUUUAAAAUCACACUUUGAGGUGUUUGCAAGCAUUUCUUUCUCUUUCUAUCGGUGUUUUAGACCGGCAACCCGCCUAGGGGUACCCUAGGUGGUCUUUUAUGCGGUAAGGGUCGUCGAGAAUCAAGGAAUCAAUGGUGACACAAGGAACACGAUUUAGACAGGUUCGGGUCGCUAGAUCGCGUAAUACCCUAUGUCCUGUAUGCUUGUAUGUAUUGAUCUUAGAUGCACUUGGAGUUGUUCUGUUUGAGGGGGGUCCCUGCCCGCCCUUAUAUACACGGGAGGGCAGGGUUACAAGUCUGAGUCCUAGUCGAGUACAAUUACAGAGUUCUACUCGGUAUGGCCCGAGUAGUUUUCCAUAUGCAUACUUGACUAGUCCGAGUGGAGAAGCCUAUCCCUUUGUCCUGAUCAUAUCCGAGUACGUCCCUUAGUGGGCUGUCCAAGGUCUACUCGUGGGCCUAGGGUGCAUGCUCGACAAGCCCCCGAGUACUUUGUAGUCGUGCACUGUAGUCUUGAGUACUGUGGGCAUUAUCUGAGUAGUUCUUUUGUAGAGGUUGCGGUGUCCAAAGUGCUCGAGUAUUGUUCGCGUGGCUGGAAGGUACUCUUCUUGCUCCUUUGAGUUGCUUUUGUUCCGAGAAUUUUUUAUAUGGUAGUGCGAUGACAAUCGUACUCCAUAUGGAGUAGCCCCAGAGCCUUAGGUUGAGUCGAAGAGUCAGGCUUAGGGUCAAUCCUGCUUCUUGGCUGUUUUACUCUUGGUAAUCUGAAAAAGAAAAUUCUGACCAUCGGGUACGGUACCCGCAGCCCCCGAGCACUUAGGCAAUUUUUUUCGUUGAAGUGGUCAAGACCCAUUGAACAGAGUAUCCGUUGGGUGUUUAAGGCAAUUAAUUUGUUUAAAAACCCAUCCGUUGCGUAACUAAUGCUUGGAAUCCGGAGGUGGCGGAGAUAUAAUCGGAGGGCCCCCUUUCAGUUAGGUUUACGCCCCACUGUAGCAGAUCUGUUUCUCUUCUUCCCCCACCUUUCCAUUCCUGUUUUCCUCCACCGUGAUUGUCUAGCGCCGCCGCCACCGUUGCUGCUCCUCUGAGAGAGGUCCGAGGUUGAGUGCAUUUUGCUGCGGGUGAAGCCGGUGGAUGCGCACCAAGAAGAUGGGGAAAAAACCCGAGAAGGCUCAAGGCAAGGCUCCUGCGGCGGGCAAGGUGAAGUCCAAGAAGGGGAAGGAGGUGGUGCUACUGGCGCCGAAGGUAGGGCCGACAAACCAGACUGCGCCGCUGCCGCCUGGAGCGAUGUGGUAGCAUUCGGUGAUGAAGGAGGCGGCCAUUCAGGUGCUUGUCGAUGCCAAACUUCUGCACUCGAAAUAGGUACUCGAGUGGAGGCCUACCUUCGCUGACGCGUGGCAAUUCGAGAAGCAUCCGAAUGAGACGGUUAUGCUUGCUCACUUUGUGGAGAGGGGGUUGGCAGUGCCCACCUCCGACUUCUUCAGAGGUAUUCUUGAGUACUACAAGCUUCAACUUGUACACUUGAACCCCAAUGGUGUACUGCACAUGUCUAUUUUUGUGCACCUUUGUGAAGUUUACUUGGGAGUUCCUCCUAGUCUUGAGAUGUUUAGGAAGUUGUUCCGUAGCAGGCCUCAACCUAGUGCUGUUAGGACAGAGGUCUUUGGGGGCGCUGGGUUCCAGCUCAGGAACUCAGGCGCGUAUAUUGAAUAUAACUUGACUGACUCCCAUGGGAAGUGGAAGAAAAGGUGGUUUUAUAUUGGGAACCAUAACCCUCGCUUGCCGGUGGUCACUGGUCAUGCGCCGAAGCACGCAGAGAAUUGGGUGAGCGAGCCUGAAGAUAGCCCAGAGCUCGAUCACUUAAUUCCCCAGAUUGCUGAGUUGAAGGCACUCGGUUUGACUGGAGUCAAUCUGGCAGCCAGCUUCCUCAAGAGAAGAAUUCAGCCCUUGCAAAAGCGGGCGCACUUGGGUGGGGAGUACUCAGGUUUUAAUGACCCGUCCCGUAUGUCUCCGGAUGAUAUUUCUGAUGAUGAUGUUGAGGCACUGUUGGCCAAGUUCUUUAGGAAUUAUCAAGGAGUACUAGUUAUUCCUUCAACGCUUCGUCAGUUUGAUGCUUGGUAUCAGCCAGAAGUGGUAUGGUCUUUCACUUUGAGUUGUACUUUUUGAACUGUUCGGGAUAUUGUUUGAGUGUCGACUUGCUUUUGUAGUCCCGAGUUCUUACUGGCUACUUGGUGUAGUCGGAAGAAGAAGAAUCUGUUGUUGAGGAGUCAGAGGACGAGCCCUCUCCUCCUGUGAAGAAACGCUGAGUAGUCCGCAAGAUGUCUGCUGCUAAGUCUACCACGACUUCUCCUGAGAAGUCUCGGGGUGCCAAGGUAUGUAGCUGUGUACUCACUUGUAGCUGACGGAUUUUAACUUGUAAUCUUUGAUCACUUUAUCUGUCUUCAAAAGGCUGACGACGCGGCGCUUGGUGACGAUGAGGCUGCUUCGGAUGAAGUAGUCAUGAGCGCCUAGGGUGUUGAUGUUGUGUCUGUUGAGAAGGUACUAGGGAAGGUGCCACCAACAGAUGCUGGAGUAGCCCCCGAGCUGACAGUCCAAGCUCCAUCGGCUACCGCGCUGCCGGUCCCAGACCAGGCAGUCCUGGGUUUGCCUGCUGGAGUGGCGGACGAUGUUGGGAAAGGAGUAUCACCAGUAGUUGCUACUGGUUCUUUGUCGUCCAAGGUGAUUGCUAGUGGUGAGCUUUCUUUCCCGACUGGUUUCGUUAGUCUGAGUUGUAUUUUAGUCUUGACCCUGUGUUUCCCAGGUCUUGGCGAGAAGACAGAGCCAGCAGCUGCUCCCGUGGCGUCGAGUACUCGGCCACCUGUUGCCGAGAAGAAGCGUGUGCGAUUGCCGCCACGAUCAACUCGGUGAGCUGUUUAUCCUUGGUGUGUAUCUUCAAGGUUUCUUCAAGUCGUGUAAUGACUUUGUAUUUUGAUGUAGGGAUGCGGAGGAGACUAUCCCUGUGGAGGCAAGAGUAGAUUCGUGUCCCCCGACUACUCUUUCUGCUCCUUUUGAGGAUUUGACUGUCGACAAAGUAUCCGGAGUUGAUGCUAGUCAUCUUGGAGCGUCCAUGUCUAUGCUUCAAGAAGUGAUCCGCUCGGUGGAAGAUCCCCCUGCUGCCUCGGGUUCUAGGAAUGUAUCCUUGUCAGCGUCUACUGGCGGAGAUUUGGCUGUAAUUGAUGCAGGGAAAUCUAAGGAACCAGCUACCCUAGGUAUGUAUCCGCAGUCUUGGUAUUGUAUUCGUAGUAUUGAGGUGGCUGAUGUUAAUCUCUUAGGUACUGCCUUGGGUGCAGCUCCUCAUCUUGCGAAGAGUACUCAAGGUCCAGUAAUCGGGCUCCCGUCUGAGUCAGAGUUCCAGAGAGCUGUCAAUGUUUUUCAAAGCUUCCAGGUGUGUUUUAUUUACUUAUCUAACAGGUUUAGUAACUAGGGGAGUUGACCGUUUGCUUUGCUGUGUAGGAUCUGUAUGACCAAAUGCAAAGGAACACUCGGGCCCUUCAGGAGCGGAACGAGCAAUUGGAGCAGGAGUGUGUCCGACUUGCGGAAUCCUUGAGGGUUCAUGAAGCUGGAGGGAAAUCCUUUGCUGUGGAGCGGUCAGAUCACGAAGUCUUACAGCAAAAGCUAGAGAGCCGCUACAAGUCUUUGAAUAAAAAGUAUCAAGGUGAGUACUUUUCAUGUUCUGGGUAUGUCCGACUAUUGUCGGUUGUGUUUGAACUUGGCCGUUUUUGCAGAACUCAAGAGGAAGGAGGCUACUGCAAGUAGCCAACUCCUUGAUUGGAGAAACUCGCAUGACCGAGUAGCGGAUGAAGCUGAACAUCUUCAAGCCGCGCUGACAGAGGCACAGGCUGCCUGCGAGCAUCAACGGGAUAGGAAGAUCCAGAAUGGAGUGAUGCUUGCUAUGGCCAUAGUGGUGUGCAGAGACCAUGCCCAGACCGUUGGAAGAUUUUGAAGCGAGCUCCAAGAGUUAACUGAUGCCGCUCAAGACUUGGUGAACGCCAUUGCCCCCUUAGAAGAGGAUGCAGGACCUCAAUCACUAGUCGAGCGCUUCAAGGCUGCUCCGGGUAAGGUGGCAGGCCUCUGCAAGGCUGUUUGCAAAUAGCUCCUUGCUAUGGUAAGGUCAUACUACCCAAGGGCAUAUUUUUCAACGGCUGGUGACAGCGUUGCUCGCAAUUGCACAGAGAAAGCCUAUGCGCAGUACCUCGAGGAGGCGGAACCAAUCGCGUCGAAGAUGUCAGAAUUUGUAUCUCUGGAGGAGCCUUGAGCGUUUAUGUACUCUUGUAAACUUUCGAGUACUUUGAAUGAUAUUGUGUCUGAGAGUUGAACACUUGUCUAUACUUUGUUGUUUGAAGUGGGUCUGACCCAUCAUGGGUAAGGAACGUUUUACUCUAUCUCACCUGACCCAAGGUCCCAUGGAUAGACACGCCCGACCCUAUGAGGAUGGAACUCCGCCUUGCCCGACCCCUUGCCGUAAGGCUUCAUAUCGCCCGACCUCGGGUGUAGGGAGUCGGACUCAACUGGGCCCCCAGGACAAGGAUCCGCUACAGGCACAACCCAGGUUUUGGCAGAAGUUGUUCUGAGGAUUGAGUUUGAGUAGUCACGAUGUAGUCGAGUAACCUUGUUAUUCUGUGAAUAGGAGGUGCACGGGUGUACUGUACUCUUUUGUCCUUCGUGGCAUGAAUGCUUUCACGUGGGCAGUCAGAGAUCAUCCAGACUCAUCGAUCACGGGCGCAUAGUAAAUUCUGGGUGGUUGAUGGUUGCAGCCCUUGGCUAUAAAUAGACCCUCCUGGAGGUCGACCCUGAAUCAAGCUUUGAGUAGCGCUAGAUUGCCUUCGGUUGCUGUUGUUUGAGUGUAGAGAGCCUUCAAAGAGUACACCGGUGCUAGAAGAUUCCUCGUAGGUCCCUGCACAGACUCUAGCGCUCAUAGGGAUAGCUGCGAUGCUAGAAGAAUCCUCGUAGGAGGUUUCAUCGCUGUCGUUUUGGAGUAGCUUUGGGAUCAACAUUUAGAGAGUGUUCGAUCAGCUCCUUGGGCACACCGGGCAUGUCAGCUGGUUUCCAAGUGAUGAUAUCGUGGUUAGCCCAAAGGAAACUGAUGAGCACGGAUUCCUAUUUAGGAUCUAGCCCUGUUCCAAUCAGGGCUGUCUUGGAGGAGUCACCCGUCUGGAGAUCGACUGGUUUGAAGUCUUGCUUGCUUGCGGGUUUCACCUUUGUAGACCCCGACUUGUUUUCUGGGAUCUCGAGUUCGGUUAGAUGGAGUUUCUUUGAAGCUGUGAAGACUUAUUGCAUGGGACUAGGUGUUUGAGAAGUCGCAGCGAUCUCCACGGCUUUAGUGUCGCAUUCAUAGGAUCACCGUAGAUCUCCCCGUAGCGUUAGUUCUCCCUUGGGACCUGGUAUUUUGAGUACCAAGUAAACGUAAUGUGGUAUAGCCAUGAACUUGGCGAGUGCUAGCCUUCCGAGUAUGGUGUGGUAGGAUGUCUCGAAAUCGGCGACUUCAAAUAUGAUAUAUUCGGUGCGGUAGUGUUCCUUAGUUCCAAAGGUAACUGGGAGGACAACUUGUCCAAGUGGUAUAGCUGCAUUUCCAGGUACGAUGCCAUAGAAGGGUGAAUCUGUUGGGGUCAACAUUUCUGUGACGUCGAGGCACAUCUUUCUUAGUGUUUUGGCGAAAAUGACAUGGAGUCCACUUCCACCAUCGAUGAGUACCUUUGUCAGCUUUGACCCUGCCACAAUGGGAUCGAGUACUAGAGGGAAUCGGCCUGGUUCUGAGAAUUUUGUCCACUGGUCUUUUCUGCUGAAGGAUAUGGGUACUUCGAACCAUUUAAGUGGUGUUGGAUCUAUUGGCUCGAUGGCCAUGAUUUUCCUGAGUACGAGUUUGUUGGCUCGCUUGGAUGCAGUGCCUGGGAUUCCGCCAAACAUGACGUUGACUGUCUUGGAGGCGGUCUGGAAGUCGCCUUCUUCUUCGUCGUUGUGGUUGUUCUUGCCCUUGUCCUUUUUCUUGUUGUAUUCUUCAGGGGGUGGUGGUGUGGGUAAGUCUUGCAUGACUUGACGCAUGCUGUAGCAAUCUAUUGCCGAGUGCUUGCUAGUCGGGUGCCAUGGGCACUGCUUUUUGAGUAGCUUGGUGAAGGUUGGCCCUUCAUCGUUUUUACGGGAUCCCUUUUUCCCGGAGUUGGUCAUGGCAGCAACGGUGUUGUCGGGCUUCCUUUUGCGAUUCUGAUUACUCGAAAAGUUAUUUCAAGUAUCAUUGUGCUGAGUUCUAUCUUGGUCAUUGUUGUUGUCGCGUCCUCGGUUGCGAUGAGAGCCAAACCAUUCACGCUCUUUGUCUUCUUCAUCCGCCCACUAUUGCACCAUGACUUUGAGGUCUUUGACGUUAGCUGGUCAUCAUUGACCGAAGUCUUGGUAUGUUCGCCGAUCAUAGGGUCCGUUCUGGAAACACUCGAUGACGUCUGUUUCUGAAAUGUCAACUAUAGUUGCCUUCUUUUCGAAGAAUCAUCUCAAGUAGUCGCGUAAGCUUUCACCUUCUUUCUGCUUUAUUUGACUCAAGUGGAUCUUGUUGCCUGGUCUAGCCAUGGAGCCAGCAUAGUUGUUGGUGAAAGCCUUUGUCAAAUCUGCCCAAGAGUCAAUUGACUUGGGUUUGAGUGACUCAAGCCACGUCAGUGGUUCGGGUUCCAUGCAUAUGGGAAAGUGGAUGACUUUGGUGUCGUUAUUGCCCCAAGCUGCUUGAACUGCUAGCGAGUAGCAUCGUAGCCAUUGAAUUGGGUCUUGUUUGCCAUCAUACUUGGUGAUUCCUGUUAGCUUCAACUUCUUGGGUAGUCUUGUCUUCAUUACCCUAUUUGUGAAAGCAGGAAAGUGGUUGUAGUUGUCGACUUCUCGCUCACGCCAACUGUUGAGUAUUUCUCGUAGAUCACUAAAGUUUGACACUUCGUGUUUCUUCUGAGUAGGGUGAAUACUUUUGUUGGCGCUAGAAAUCAGCCGAUUGAAUCUCUAGCGUCGGACACACGACCCGGGAGAAUCUACUUAACUCCUGUUCCGGUGAUCGCCCUGGUGCGGUUCGCGCGACGUGCCAGCCAAUCUGACCUAUUGAUUGGCACGGAAAGAAACGUGUCAGGUCCUAGAGGUUGCGAUCGGCUAAGGUUCCGAUCUUGAGAGAGCUUAUCAGCGAAUGGGUCGAUUUGCUGUAAUAAAGGAAUCGGCUAUAAUACAGCCGAUUACCAGGCAACAUUGGUAAAGAAAACUGCUAAGAGUAAACUAAACAACGCUACAGUAGCAACACUAGGAAUAGAUCUUAAUCGGCUAUGCAAAAAGUAGUAAAUUGAGCAAUAAGAUAUAAAAAAGCCGACAGUACUAAUUCCAAGCUGGAUAACUGGUGAUAAAACUAGAACAACAGGAAAAACCUAGAAUUCUAGUGAUUAUCGAUAACUGGUGAAUAAAUCUAAACGAAACGACAGCAAUGUGCCCGAAGUUAAAGCUUAGAUAUUACUCGAUAAGAGGAACUUACAGAAUCGGCCGGAGAUCAAGUUGAUGCAGCCCCGCCAACCCGUACGAACUCGUGAAAAGAAGAAAAGUAUUGGCGAAGUCGCCUGCUCGAAAGUAAAGUGCGAGGAAAUAGUAGUUUGUUGUAUUGAUUUGAUGAUGAUUACAGAUCUAUGAAAGCGGCUAUUUAUAGCCAGUUGCAACCAAUCUCUUAACUGACUAGGACUCUAUCUCUAAUUUUAAAUGAAAACAAAUAUUUACAAGCAUAAUUCUUAUCGGAGUUGGUCAUCGUGUUCCCACGGGCCGAUCUCCUUUUUAUCUUCAUAGCUCACUUUAGGCCCAUAUUGGCCCAACUGCUCCAACCUCCCAAUCGGCCAAUUUUCACCAAGUCCAUCCGCCGAAAUACUACAGCACCAAUCGGCCGAUCCUCAAUUGUAGCACCAAUCGGCCGAUUCCCAAUCGUGACCUCCGUGUUUCGCCGCAUAAGUUGAUUCCUUCCCUUCUUGACGUCGAUUUCAUAUGUGUAAAAAUCUGGCGUCAACACAUGCCCCCCAGUUUCGGAGUAAAACAUAAUCUUUACUUCGAAAUUCCUUUCAACUUCCCUUCCGAAACAAUUGCAUUGAAAAUACACUUUCGUUUCGCGGUCUUCUGCCUGAUGAUUGCAAUCUUUUCGAAAUGGGCGCCCACGACAACCACUCCUCCCAAAAAAAUCGAACCGUCGGCGUGGUAAAAAUUCCGCUUUUACCCUUUCUCAGACCGCCCUUAGAUAUCAGUACGUCCCGUACUUCUUCUUCACGAGCCCACGUCUUCCUUCUUUGGCGCACUGGCCUCCUUCUUCCGGCGUCUCUUUAGCCUCUAACCUCUCACUUCGGCGAGUUCUUCCAUCUACAUUCCACCCCACCUUCUCGAUGGCGACACCUUCAGGCACUCCACCAACAUCCGAGGUCCUGGAGACGGCUCCAUCAGCAGUGGCUCCAACAGCAAUGGCGGCAGCUCCAUUGGCAGGAGCAGGAGCUCCAUCGGGCGGGAGCGGGAGCUUCAUCGACGACCACAAUGAGCUUCAUACCAGAGGUUUCUACCAAAACUUUCCUUUCCGCUCCUCUAUGUCGAUGCAUUUACCUUAGAUCUGUUCUUACUUCCCCUUCCAUUCUUUACCUGUUUAGGCGGUUAGGCACAAGAUUACUAUUCGCCUCACCGAAACUCCCGGCCUUAUCUGUCUUGGUCCCAUGGGAAACAUAGAUACAACCGACCUAAUCAAUUUGGAAACCCAUAGGAUCCCUUUCAAGCAAUCAACCAUGGACCUAGAUCACUGGUCAGGUACCUUCAGAUCAUGGCCGAAUGAAACCCCCAGCUGGAGGGAAUGGUACCAAUGGAUAGCCGCCUUAAAAAGAGUUCAAUGGGACGAGCCUUUAGUAAUAGCAGCCUUAUCUUUGUCCCAAAUGGAAAGGAAUGAGCCUUUAGUAAUAGCAGCCUCCUACUUUUGGUCUGAUGCCCUCAACGCAUUCCUCUUAGGACACGGACCUAUGACCCCUACCCUGGCCGAUGUGGUCAUGUGGAUCGGCCUUGAUAUCUCCUCUCCCGAUACUCCUUUCCGUUACUUGGCCAAAACAUCCCAUCGGCUGGAGACGAAAGGAAUCGGCGGGUGGAAAGGAUUCAUCAAGUGCAACAGAAGGGCCGGGACAGUCCAGGAAAGAGAGCAUGCGGCCUUCUUGAUGAUGUGGCUAGAGAAACACCUUUUUUGCGGGAGGGCAGCCGGUCCAUCCACUAACACACAGGCUCUGGCCGAGACACUAUCGAUAGGGGCCUCUGUUCCUCUUGGAAAGCACCUAUUGGGAUCGGUUUACCAUAUGUUGCAUCAGAUCGGCGUCAAGCUAUCCAAAGGAGAGCCGAUUGGAAACCCAGGUGGACCCUGGUGGUUCAUCAACUUGUGGCUUAAUCUGUAUAUUAGCAAGAUCUCCCAGCAGCGAGUGGAGUACAUGACGUUCCCAAACAUCGAAUCGGCAGAGAAUCCCACUGUACGGCGCCGGUGUACUUCCUUCGGUGAAGCGGCAUCGGCCUUCUCCGGUUUCUCAUAUUCUGUUGCCAAGGUGGCCGAAUACUUCAGAUGCUUCUACAAUGGCUUUAGUGAAGACGCAACCAGCUGGUUCCCUUAUCAAAGGGAGGAACCACUCUUCGAGCUCCCGUCCUGUUUUGACUCGGCCACCAGCAAAUUUGAUGAGGACCUCACAGAUGAAUUGAUCAAGCCGGGGAUCCUGCCGGCGAACUUCUUCUCGGGGAAGGAUGCCCCCACUUAUGAGUUUUACCAUCCUUCCGUCACAGCACGGCAAUUCGGCUUGGGUCAACUGCCGAUUUAUGCAUACUUCACCGGCCGAGCAAAAUUUCGAGACGAGCUCACCAAAGGUCUCCACUACUACGAUCGGAUUCUAGACUCCAGCACCAUAGACUUGGCCAGUUGGAUAGUAGCCCCUUUCGCUGUUCAGCAGUUCAAGCUAUGGUGGGUGGAAUGGAAGCAACAUCUAUUCUGCGCCUCUACGGCGAUAUAUUGUAAUCUCCUGAAUCCCGACAACAUCGAUCCGAAUGCCGAGGUAUCGCUCUCUUUCUGGCUGAUUUUCAACUCCUUUUUUUUUAUACUGACUCUUAUUAUUAUUUCAGUCUGAGAGCCAUGCUCCCCCAAAAUGCAGUCGGAGUGGUCGGUCGAUAGAGGACCGUUAUCCAUACACAGCAUUCCCCCUCAUCGGCUAUCACGCCCCCUCCGUUGAUGACAUAGCCGGCCGAGCGAAGCAAGCGCAGAAAAAGAUUAUCAAGAAGACAAGUCGCCGAGUACGCGCCCGCACAGAAUCGGCCGAUCCACCCGUGGUUGCAUCGGCGGAAAUUUCGGCUGCGCCGACCCUUCCAGUCGCUGAAGAAUUUGACCUCCAAGCUGCUACAGAGGCCGGAGCAGCUGCCGCGUCAUUAUGGGUGGAAGCUAUUCAGGUAAACUCACCAUCCAAUUUUCCUAACAGUCAUUUCAAUACUGUCCUUUCCUUUAUUAGGCCGCGCAGACUCCCUCAGCAGAUCCACAGCAAUCUGCAAUGCCCCAAGCAGAAGUUGAAAUACCAGUGCCCCUUCCCGUUGAGGUACAUGAUCUCUCAACUCAAUUCUUUAAUAUUUGAAUGAUGAUCCUACCAACCUUGAUGCAAGUCAUCGGCACAUUAACUAUGCUAUCCGACUAGCCAUCUGCCAGAGAAGUCCUUCAAGAGGCCGGCCCGAGCAGAACGCCGAUCGUUGUCGAAUCCUCUUCUUCCGAUGAGCCAAUGGCACCAGUCCCCGAGUCGAGAGUGGCUGUUCCGCAAACACAGAUGGAGGAGAUCCGUUUCAAAGAGGUGAGAAGUCAUUUGACCCGCAUUGACCGAUUCAUCACCACCAUCGGCUGACUCAUUUUCCUUUUAUUUAUCAUUCACAGGAACAGGACACUCCCAAUAAUAGCCUCUUCUCAUUUGCGGUCGCGCUCUCUGAUGACGAGGAAGUUUCUUCUUGUCAAGUUACUUUGAGCUCCAUCCCCGAUGAUGUCCGCACUAAGCUCGAAAGUAUAUGGUCCCUUCUUCAAGAGGACAUCGGCCGAUUGGUGGAGGACGCCUCGCCGAUUUGGCAGCUCUUUGGUGAUGUCAGCGGGCAAGUCCCAGAGGAAGCAGAAGAAGCCUUAGCGCCGGCCGCUUAUAUCGAGUCGAUGCGGAUCCCGAUCUUCAGGGCUCUGCGUCACAUGGCUGAUAGCGCCAAGCUGGCUAAGACUCAUGAGGAAGAGGACUCGUACAAGCAUCGGGCCCAGGAGGUACACCAUCGGAUUCACUUCCUCGAGAAUUCCCGACCCGGACUCGUCGGCACGAUAGAUCGCCUCAAGCGCCGAAGGGCGGAACAUGCCAAGGAGAUGGAGCAGGUAACCAAAGAAAUAGCUAUUGAAGAGAAGAAGCUUCAGGAACUCCCUUCCGUUAUCGCCGAUUUAAAGCAGGAGAGGCAGCAUCUGGCCCAUGAGGCCCUUAGACUCCAUCGCCAUAUGUCAGAAGUUCCAGGGUCGGCAGAUGAUGACCAACGAGUCUUGGACUCGGCCGAUCAGAUCAGAAGUCGAGCGAUUGCAGCCAUUAACGCCCUUCUGGGUGAUCUGUAAAAGUACUGGCCAUUUUGUACGAACAUUAAUGCCUUUUGACUGUCCUUCGUGGCGCUCUCCUAUUUAUUACCCUUUUUACUCUGACAGGACGCAUCUUACCAAACCUCCGCGCUUCCUCUUAUUAUAAAUACCGGCCCUGGUUUCGCUCUUGAGAAUACCUGCUCCACUCUAUUCCUUUUUCCCCGAUUACGUUUCCAUCGGAACGUUCGUAGUCAUGUCUUCUUCGUCUUCUUCUUUCUCCUCGCCUUCUAUCAAUCAGGUACGAGGUCCGUCUCCGCCCUUUUUUCAGUUUGAUCCCUUUAAAUCAUUCCAACUUUUAGGCGGCUAUGUGCUAACUUUUUCAGCCAAGGCACCUUAGCCCUGAACUCGAAUGAGCAAUCAAACUCGUGCACUCUGACGAGUCAUUGUCGCAAGAGAACAAGGACUUGAUCAAGGCACACCGUGAAGAACUCAGAGAUCACGUUCCUGCCGACGUCCAACGGAUCUGGGACUUCAUCGAUGUCAAUGAUUACGGGAGACCGCAAGUUGACAGGAGCCACCCACUUCCUCUUCCGGUUGUUCUUGAAAACGUCGCGGUAGGGACAUCGCACCCGGUGAUGGAUCGGAGCCAUCCUCUUCCUCGCCAAGUUGAGGCGGAGGCCGCGAUGAGAGAUGUGGCAGAACGAAGCAUUCGCCUUCUGAUAGAAUUAGGUAGGAUUGAGAGGGAACUCAAGAAGAAGCGUAGUUGAGUAUUUUUUGUUCUAAGGACGAAGUGUACUGCGUCGGUCGUGUAAUUCAUCGUUCGUACCGAAUCACAAAUCGGCCAAUUUGAACGAUUAUUUUUCUCCUUUAGGCGAUUUCUUCUCCCGUAUCGGCUGUGUGAUCAUUCAGGGAGCGAUCUUUCUGUCUUAUGUUCCGACCCAUAUACUGGGGUAAUACCUUUUCAAGUACCUCCCGUUUAAGGCCCUAGUAAAUUCUUCUCCUUCGAUCAUUUCCAGAAUGUAAGCGUUUCCCAGGGCACAUCGGCCGAUUCUAUACGGCCCUUCCCAAGUGGGAGACCAUUUACCGAAUUUAGGAUCUUUUGAUCCAAUCGGCAACACUAACUUCCAUACUAGAUCCCCUUGGGAGAACUGCUUGACUUUGACCUUCUUGUCAUACCAUCUGGCCACUUUCUUUUUGUUUUCCUUGAUACUGAUCAAGGCUCUCAAACGUUGGCCCGCCAAAUCGUCGAGUUCCCUAUUCAUGAGCGAGGAGUAAUCAUCGGCCGUCAGCUGAUCUUGAAGCGACGUGCGUCUCGACCCUGUUCUCAACUCCCAUGGCAAUACUGCCUCAUGACCGUACACCAAUUGAUAAGGAGACACCUUGGUAGCCCCGUGGCAGGCCAUCCUGUAUGCCCAUAGAGCUUCGGUUAGACAUAAGUGCCAUUUUUUGGGUUGUUCUUCGAUCUUCCUCUUGAUCAACUUGAUUAUCCCUUUAUUGGAAGAUUUGGCCUGGCCGUUAGCCUGAGGAUAGUACGGGGAGGAAUUUAGCAGCUUGAUUCCCAUAUCGGCCGUGAACUCCUCGAACUCUCCCGACGUGAACAUCGUCCCUUGAUCAGUUGUGAUAGUCUGAGGGAUGCCGAAACGAUAGACAAUAUGAUCCCUCACGAAAUCGACCAUAGCGGCCGAUGUUACGGCCUUUAAUGGAACCGCCUCCACCCAUUUGGUGAAAUAAUCUGUGGCUACCAGAAUGAAUUUAUGUCCUUUACUUGACGGAGGAUAAAUUUUUCCAAUGAGGUCUAUUCCCCAACCUCUGAACGGCCACGGCUUGAUAAUUGGAUUCAUAGCCGACGCGGGCGCGCGUUGCACAUUCCCAUAUUUCUGACAAUCUUGGCUUCCUUUAUAAUACUUGAAACAGUCCUUAAGGAUUGUCGGCCAGUAAUAUCCAUUAUUCCUAAUCAUCCACUUCAUCUUAUGCGCCGAUUGGUGGGCUCCACACACCCCUUCGUGCAUUUCUCCCAUCAGGGUCUUUGCCUCCUCCGUCCCUAGGCAUUUGAGUAGAACACCAUCAAUCGUCCGGUAGAACAAAUCAUUUUCCAAUAACACAUAUUUUUGUGGCCUGAAAUCGUAUUCGCCGAUCCACUUUCUUAGAUGGGUCUUUUAAAUAAUCGGCGAUCUCUUUUCGCCAGCCGUCGGCCGCGAGUUCCAGAAUCAUGGCGCCUUGAAUCGGCCGAUACCCGAACGCGUGCUGAGCCAGCCUGUUGGCUUCUUCAUUGUAAUCCCUGGGGAUAUGCUCAAUAACUGUGGAUUUGAAUUCUUUCAGAAGUUGGAGGCAAUCCUCAUAGUAAACCCUUAAUACAUCAUCUUUGCACUCGGAUCUUCCUAUCAAUUGGUCCACGAUGAGCAUGGAAUCUCCAAAAACAUCGAUGGUGUCGGCCUUAAUUUCUCUUAACAAUUGUAACCCUUUCAGGACAGCCCGGUAUUCCGUCUGGUUAUUAGUGGCGGAUGCUUCUAUCGGUAGAGAGAAAUCAUAGCUUGCCCCCUGAGGUGAUAUGAGAACGAUGCCGAUUCCCGAUCCGGCCCCACAUGAUGAGCCAUCAAAAUAUAAGGUCCACGGUACUGGUUCCACGACAGCGAUUUCUGGUCCGCAGUGUUGGGCGACGAAAUCAGCCAUAACCUGACCUUUGAUGGCGUUUGCCGAUUCGUACCGUAGAUCAAACUCUGAUAAAGCCAAAAUCCACUUUCCGAUCCACCCUUUCAAAAUCGGCAAUGACAGCAUAUACUUUACUACGUCAUCCGUGCAUACAACCACGCAUUCUGCUGAUAACAAGUAGUGCCUGAGCUUGGUGCAUGAGAAGUAAAGACAUAAGCACAGCCGCUCUACCGGGGGAUAUCUUGAUUCGGCGUCCAAAAGUCUUCUACUAACAUAAUAUAUUACCCGUUCCUUUCCUUCGAACUCCUAGACUAGUGCCGAUCCGAUAGCUCGCUCAUCGGCCGAUAAAUACAGCUUGAAUGGCUUACCAGUUUCUGGUGGGACCAAGUACUGCUUGAUGUCUUCUAGUGCCUUGCGUUGCUCUUCUCCCCAUACAAACUCUUGGUUGGGUUUCAAUUUCAACAACGGUGUGAAGGCCUGGAUACGUCCGGAUAGGUUGGAUAUGAACCAGGCAACGUUGGUAAAGAAAACUGCUAAGAGUAAACUAAACAACGCUACAGUAGCAACACUAGGAACAGAUCUUAAUCGGCUAUGCAAAAAGUAGUAAAUUGAGCAAUAAGAUAUAAAAAAGCCGACAGUCCUAAUUCCAAGCUGGAUAACUGGUGAUAAAACUAGAACAAUAGGCAAAACCUAGAAUUCAAGUGAUUAUCGAUAACUAGUGAAUAAAUCUAAACGAAACGGCAGCAAUGCGCCCGAAGUUAAAGCUUAGAUAUUACUCGAUAUGCGGAACUUACAGAAUCAGCCGGAGAUCAAGUUGAUGCAGCCCCGCCAACCCGUACAAACUCAUGAAAAGAAGAAAAGUAUUGGCGAAGUCGCCUGCUCGAAAGUAAAGUGCGAGGAAAUAGUAGUUUGUUGUAUUGAUUUGAUGAUGAUUACAGAUCUAUGAAAGCGGCUAUUUAUAGCCUGUUACAACCAAUCUCUUAACCGACUAGAACUCUAUCUCUAAUUUUAAACGAAAAUGAAUAUUUACAAGCAUAAUUCCUAUCGGAGUUGGUCAUCGUGUUCCCAUGGGCCGAUCUCCUUUUUAUCUUCAUAGCUCACUUUAGGCCCAUAUUGGCCCAACUGCUCCAGCCUCCCAAUCGGCCGAUUUCCACCAACUCCAUCCGCCGAAAUACUGCAGCACCAAUCGGCCGAUUCCCAAUCGUGACCUCCGUGUUUCGCCGCAUCAGCUGAUUCCUUCCCUUCUUGACGCCGAUUUCAUAUGUGUCAAAAUCUGGCGUCAACACAUACAUAAUGAUGGUAUUGUUCCUACUUUCAGGAUGAGGUAUUUACUAUUGAAGCAACAAUAAAUGAAAUUAAUGCAACAUAUGGUUGGUACUACAUCUCAUGUAGUAGAGGCGAUUGUAAGAAGUAACUUGAAAAGAUGUUUGAUCACUACUAUUGCAAUAAAUGUGACAAGAGAGCCUAACCUAAAGCACGGUAAAUUAGUUAGUAGUUUACAAUCUUAUUAUAGUACUUCUAUUUCUAAUAGGAGAAUAAUAUUUGCAGAUUCAAAAUUAAGCUUCAAAUAAGUGAUCCAACAGCAAGUGCAACUUGUGUACUUUUGACAAGGAAGCAGAAAUGAUAAUUAAUGAAUGAGCAGAUUCGAUGAUCACCUCAGUUGAUCAUGAUAAUAAGUAGCUACCAAAAUCAAUUCAGAAAAUAUGUGAAGAAACAUUGAUUUUUCAAUUCAGAUUGACCGAGUACAACUUGACAAGUUUUAGACCUGAUUAUACUGUUUCAAAGAUAUUUUUUCCAAAAGAGAAGAGCAGUUCUAGAAUUGGUAUGGAAAGUGUAAAAAAGGUAACACUUUAUUAUUAAGUUUUUAUUGCACUUUUUUCUUUUGAAUCCUUAAUAUUUAAUAAUUUUACUAUAUCAAUGAAACAAAUUCUAACCUAAAUUUACAACUCAAACAAAUGCUACAUGAUAACUACCGAGAAUGAAGAGGUAGACACUGAUGACUCUUUUACCAAGAAAGUAACAUUCGUAGAAGAAGCCAUAAGGACUGGGGAAAGAUUGGCUAGAAAAGUAUACUCACUUCCAUCUCAGUAUUCAUUCUGUUUACAAUACAUGCAAAAAAAUAUUAUUCAUGCAAAAUUGCAGGUCUACUAAGCAUUAAAGGAAUAGCGGAUAGUGCAAUAUCUAAUUUGAGCAGCAUGCAUUACAAAGUGCUCUACUGCAAUUAAAUUAAAAAACAUGAUAUAUGUUGAAUUCUUAGACUUUAUUAUUAUACUUUUCUAUGUGACAAUUCACAAUUUUUUAGAAAAUAGAAGAUCCCAGAAGAAGUGAUCAUGAAAAAAGGUCUAUGCCCAGCAAUAAGAAAAAAAUGCAAGCAUAGAAACAAAUCCGUAGAAAACAUAGAAAAUAAGGUACUCCAUAAACAAAAGUAUUCUCUUAUAUUUUUAUUAAAUAUUUCUUUAACACUUGACAAGUUCUUUUUUAGGAUCAAUAUAUCAGCAAUUCAGAUGUCAUUGGAGAUGAAAACCUUAGUUCGUCCAAAAGGUCAAAAAAAACAUCUGAAGAAAGGUGUUUGGCUGAAAAGGAAAAGCAAGAAAGUUGUAAUGCAGACAAACACAUGCAGAAAAAUAUAAAAACAUGUAAUAGGGAGGCAGACCAAUCUUGCAAUGAGGUAUAGAUAAAACGUGAUACACGACCUGCCUACCUUGUCGUGGAUACCCCAAGAAGAUGUCGUAGAGGUGCAGACCAAGCUAGCAAGGAGGUCGAAACGUGAUACACGGCCUGCCUACCUUGCCGUGGAUAUUAGCCCUAAGAUCAUUCUACUGUUCAAGGAAUAACACUCAAUGCUGCUGCUGCUGCUGACCUGGCUCCAUAAAGUUAUACUCCUCUAGGUGCUUGCACUAACUUUAUCUGAAGUAUUAUUCUCUCUGCACUGUAUAUAUGGUUAUGGAGUUUGCUGGAGUAUCCGGGGGGAAGAACCUACAUAAUACGUCUUGGAACUAACUGACAUUGAUUCACAGACAAACUCUACAAGGUGCUGUUGUUGCCAUUUUAGAGCAUCCAAAGGACUAUAAAUAACAUAGUUUACCAUAUACCAUAUACCAUAAUAUGUUAGCUAAAAUAAGAGCAUACACAUGUUGCAGGAGUCCAAAAGCACCGGUUGAGGACCAGGUACAUUGAAUUACUAGAAAAAGACAGGGGACAAGGUUUAGGUAACCACAUGAAACAUUUGAAUUUACUGUACCAUGAACACUUAGUUACCAUGCUGGGAGCACAUAGUUAACACUAACAUUUAGCCACUUUAGAUCAUCCCGAAUCACCAAUGACCCUCAAUAGUGACAAAUUUUGGUUUAAAUGCCGUCACCAAUGAUCCUCAAUAGUGACGUAUUUAGGUUUAAAUCCCAUCACUAAUAACCCUCAAUAGUGACCUGUUUUGGUUUAAAUCUCAUUACCACUUAUCCUCAAUAGUGACGUGUUAAAACACGUUAUCUCAAUGGCAAAUCAUUGGUGACGUGUUUUAAAAAAACAUGGCACUGUGAGAGUCAUUGGUGAAGGGUAAUUAAAAUGCGUCACUAAUGUUGUAGCAUUAGUUAUGAUAAUUUAGUAAUGCAAAAAUCUACCAUCAGUAAUGAGCUUUAGAGCCAUCGCUAAUGUGGGUUUCUUACAUAGUGAUGCAAGCUCUACAAGGUGCUGUUGCUGCCAUUUUAAAGCAUCCUAUGACUACAUGUUAAUAACAUACUUUACCAUAUACCAUAAAAAUAUUAGUUACAAUAAGCACAUACGCAUGUGGAAGAGUCCGAAUGCACCGGUUGAGGACUAAACACAUUUAAUUACUAGAACCAAAUGUAUGUCCAGAACAAAGACAGGGGUCAAGGUUUGGGUAACCGCAUUAAAAACAUUGGAUUUUACUGUACAUGAACACUUAGUUACCAUUACCAUGCCUUGAGCACCUAGUUACAACAAACAUUAAUUUAGCCACUUUAGAGCUUCCAGAAUCGCUAUAAAUAAUAUACAUACGCCGUACCAUGAAAACAUCAAGAAGAGAGACGGAUACAUGGACCACCAUCAAGCGAGUACUGACAGCACGCACAAGAAUACCCAGAACCUGUUAGCUUGUCUGUAGUGAUCUGUUUUCUUCCCCAUAAAAUCCAUGAGUAUUGCCACAAAUAAUGAAAGAGGCUGACCAAGCUAGCAAGGAGGUAGAGCAAACGUGAUACACGGCCUGCCAAGAUUGCCCUGGAUACGCCAAUAAGAGCGACAGAUACAUGGAUCACACCAAUAUGGUGAAACGUAUAUUCAUCACACAAGCAAAGCUGGUCAGUUUAUCCAUGGUCAAAUUGUGGUCUUUGUUUUCACUUGAGAGCUAAUUGAGGCACUAUAAUAUGGGCAGGCCUAUCUUCAACAGACAUGACAGCUACAGGGAACUUGACAUAAUUUGCUGGACCGCCUGUGCACAAUUAUUUGUUUUAUUGUCCUUGCAUAGAAUGCUAAAAUACUCUUUACAAAAUGUUGGAUCUAAUAUUUGAAAUAUAGAGUAGUAAUCAUAUAUUGAUCAACAACUUGAAAUUAUCUGUACAUUCUCGGUGAAGCUGUUGAACUAAUUUUUGCAAAUUAUUAAUUAAUUCAUCUCAUUACGUAAAGAAAACAGUAAGUGGAUAAGAUAUUUCGUGGACCACAUCACUGCAAACAUGUCAUGGAGAGACAGACCAAGGAGGCAGGACGUGAUACACGACUUACCCUAGGUUGCCGUGGAACCGCCAAGAAGAGAUACAGAUACAUGGACCACACCAUCUUGGGAGUAGUGACAGCAUAUAUGCAGAAGAAUACCCCGUGCCUAUUUGCAUGCAUGUCUCAAGUGAUCUGUUUUCUUCAGAAAAUACAUGAGCAUUGCCAGAAAGAAUGGCAAGAGACAAACAUGUCGUAGAGACUUGCAUGUCUUGCCUUGGAUACGCCAAGAAGAGGGACACAUACAUGGAUAACACAAAUCUAGUGACACGUAUAUUCAUCACAAAGGCAAAUCUGAUAAUUUUAUCCAUGGAGCAGACCAAGGAGAAAUUGAUGACGGACAUGUGAUCUCUGUAUUCAGUUGAAAGCUAAUUGAGCUACACUAAUAUGAGCAGGACUAUAUUCAAGAGACUUGUUGAGAGCUACAGGGAACUUGUAAUAAUUUGCUGGGCGGCCUGCGCACAAUGAUUUGUUAUACAUAGUUGAAAUAUUUCAAGAAUUUAUCAACCUCGUACUCUGAAACCCUUGGUGCAAUGUACUCUGCUUUCCGAGGUAGACUGUUCACGUAAAAUGAGGUCAUGCGUAAGACGGAAUCGGAUUGGAUUCGCAGGGAAUCAGAUUUGGAUAGCACCUUUUAGCAGGUUUUUAGUCAAAUGCAAAUUCGGAUCCAGAUAUGGUUGAAUGCGAGUUCAAAAUUCUACUUGGAUAUCCAUUUAAUUUAGGUGAUAGCAAUUAGCACAAAAUGUUGGAAGAACAAAAUCAUAGUUAGACAUACAAUUACAUGUAUUGUUAAAGUAUAAUACAAUACACCAAGAUUAUUCCUUGAAAAUAUUUCUUAAAAAUAUUAUAAUAAAUGAAUACCACCAACAAAUAGUCGGUGGUCACUAAGUUGGAGCCAUUUCUGGUUACUAAUGCGGCCUGCUCCUCGACCAGCGACGACAGCUGAGCUUGUUCCUUCUGACACCAAAUCAUCAGAGUUUUCCCUCCACUACUAUAGAAUGCACCUUUAGCACCAAUUGGGAAAUCUCCUUCAGUAUCGGAUGCUGCAACCUAUGCUAUGAAAAUGGAGACUAAAAGCCUCGGUCUUGGGUACCGGUUGCAUGACGCAUUACUAAAGGAGGCAAAAGAGAAAUGUAACAAAAAAAUAUUUUGAAUUCCAAGAAUGUUUCACUAUUCAAGAUGACUAGCUGAGAGUCAUCAGACAAGAUACUAGGAACGUGGGUGCUUGAAUGCCAGGUGCUGGAGCGCGGCGAGGCAGUCGUCGUAGCCCGCCGGGAGCGGGUGCUCGGGCGCGAGGUGGUACUCGACGGAGACACCGAGCGUUGGGCGCGCGGCGGCGAGCGCGUUGAGGAAGUGAUCGUAGUGUGGCGACGUCGCGGACUCCGCCACGAAGCCGCCGCCGUGGAUGUACACCACCACGGGCAGCUUCGUCUUGCCGUCAGCGGCCACGGCCGCGGCCUAGGGUGGCAGGUAGAGGCGGAUGGAGCAGGAGCCGAGGUCGACGUCCCCGGAGUCGACGCCCGUGGCGGCGUCCAGGCCGGGCCUGACCGGCGGCGGCACGAGCGACGCGGCCGCUCUUGUAAAUCCAGCAGGUCUGUGCGGAGGCGGGCGGCGGGUGGGAGCGGCGGCGGGUGGUGCGGAGGCCGGCGGCGGCGGGUGGCGCGGAGGAAGGGGAGCUGGUGAGUGGUGACAGGGGAGGGGGGAGAGAGAGAGGGGGGUAGGGUGCAUUGAAUGAGGGCAGGAGGUGUAAAGUGCACCUUUUAGUCCCCAUAAACAACCAUAAGCAUCCCAAGAGUUGCUUAUUUACUUAUAAUAAGCAACCCCAUAAGCAAGAGUGAUUGGUUUCAUAAGCAACUUAUUUGCUUAUUUUAAGUUGCUUAUGCAUAAGCAUGUGAAACCAAACAGGCCCUUAACCUAUGGUUGUGGCACACAACCAUACAGUAGAUAGUAUUUAAUAAUGCUAUUCGUUUGGUAUGUGCAGAAGGGCACGCAUGAAAUGUCUGGCCCACGGUAAACAAGUACGGACGCUGCAAAUAAUCUACUCUGCUCGUCCAGUCCCUAGCCUAUAAAUAGAUGCCAUGCUAGCUCUUGUUGUGCUCACAAUUAAUCCGAUUACACACGAGCUUCUCUCCCUGGCCAAGACACAAUCAUAGUAUGAUGAAGAACAUGGCACUAGCCGGCAAUGGUAUGAAGAAGUUAAUCCUCGCUGUUCUCUUACUGUGUCUAGUUAUAGGGCAGAUACAAGUGGAAGCUAAGAGCUGCUGCCCAUCCACCACUGCAAGAAAUAUCUACAAUACCUGCCGUAUCACGGGUACAUCCCGUCCAACGUGUGCAAAACUGUCAGGCUGCAAAAUUAUCAGCGGGGACAAAUGCAAGCCCCCUAACGACCACCUCACCCUUGACCCGGACACUGGUAAAUAAUAAAUUUAUCUCACUUGAUUUCUUUGUGUUUUGAGUCGUUAAUGUAUUUUCCAUCUGAUGAAACGUAUUGGUUU